CCACAACAACACCUUGACAUCCCUCAUCCACAGUACCGGAUGAGGAUCCGUCGUCGAUCUGGUCGUCCCGCCGGUUCAGCCACCCCGUCCUGCACCCCCAAGGAGCUGCCCCGACAUUCUCCUCGUCUUUCGCGCAACCUCCAUUCCCACACCGCCGUCUUCACCUACACCACCGGAAGAGCAUCAGCAUCACCGUUUCCUCGGAUGAAGCUGCGGCCUAAUCGGCUCCACCAAAGAGGUUGUACACUAAACGCCGCAUUUUCUUCUUGAUUCAAUCUCACGGUGCUGCCGGCGCUCGGUCCUGAGCCGACAUGGCGCGGCUCCAUCCACCGCGGUGUCGCCGGCCACUUCCUCCACGGCGUCGUUCACUCGGCGGCGACGUCCACAUCAGUAGGAGCUCCUGCUGCUUUAGCUCUCGCUCGCGCUGCUGCUCUGCUCUUGCUCUCGGUCCCCUGCCUGGUGUGCUCUUGCUCUUGCUCUUGCUCGCACUGCUGCUCUCGCUCUUGCUCUUGCUUGUGAUGCUGCUCCGAUUUAGCUACACUUCAGUCGACUGAAUGGACUUUUGGGUCAGUCGAUUUUCAGGGGGCGGGGGGCUCGCCGGAGUUAAGGAAGAACCAGCCGCAGCGGGGAGGGGGGCUCGCCGGAGAAGUACCCCACUAUCUAUCUUAGGGUUCAGGGUGGGGCGGUGGUCACCGGCGGUNNNNNNNNNNNNNNNNNNNNNNNNNNNNNNNNNNNNNNNNNNNNNNNNNNNNNNNNNNNNNNNNNNNNNNNNNNNNNNNNNNNNNNNNNNNNNNNNNNNNNNNNNNNNNNNNNNNNNNNNNNNNNNNNNNNNNNNNNNNNNNNNNNNNNNNNNNNNNNNNNNNNNNNNNNNNNNNNNNNNNNNNNNNNNNNNNNNNNNNNNNNNNNNNNNNNNNNNNNNNNNNNNNNNNNNNNNNNNNNNNNNNNNNNNNNNNNNNNNNNNNNNNNNNNNNNNNNNNNNNNNNNNNNNNNNNNNNNNNNNNNNNNNNNNNNNNNNNNNNNNNNNNNNNNNNNNNNNNNNNNNNNNNNNNNNNNNNNNNNNNNNNNNNNNNNNNNNNNNCGGCGGUGGGGAGUGUUUUCGGGGCAGGCGGGGCGGCGCACCGCCGGCCGCGGGCGGCGGGGGGCGGCUAUUUGGCCUGUGGUGGCUGGCGGCUCAGGGGGGUGGAGGUUGAAGAUGAACUGCAGGCCCUUGAUUUCGUAUCUAACGGCUGCAAAAUCGACUGACCAGAGAUGAAAAAGUCAGUCGACUGACGUGUAGCCUCACCUCUAGUGCGUUCAGUUUCGACAGUAAAAUUCAGUUUCGACAGCAAAAUUCAGUUUCGACAGUUAAGUUCAGUUUCCACAGUUAAAUUCAGUUUCGACAGUUAAGUUCAGAGAUGAGCGGCUGAUGUAUACAUCUAGCACUUUGUGGUUAUGUAUUUUACGUCAUCUAUUGGAGAUGCUAUUAGAAUUCCACUCAGGUUAACGUUGCCUCUCUUGUCCUGCUUCAGCCUCGGCGUCGUACAACUCACCGGAGCUGCUCGAACGACGAAACCCUCCAUCACAGCGGAGCAGUACCUCGGGCUCCAUCUCCAGACGCCUAAGAUCUUCUUCCCCUCCUACGACAACCAAGUCAGCCGGAGCAUCCUCACCGGCCAACCCAAUCACGCUGAGAUCGACAUGGCUUCGCCAAAGAGGUUGUACACUUCUUGUGGUCUGACUUAAUCUCACCAUGCUUCUUUGCAUCCUGUGAUCUUCCAAUUCUUGUGAACCAAACACCCAGAUUGGCAGAAAUCCUGUGUUUUUAAAUUCUCUGUUUUGCACGUGCAUUCCUAUCCUAUUCAUAUCUAUUUCCUAUCCCUGCAUUGUUAGAAUCCUCAAAUUCAAACAAGCCCUUACACAAUUACUUCUGUUACAGAUAUGUGUCAAAGAAAACCUUGUGUGGUUUGUCCUUCUCCUGCGGUGCUGUGUUCCACCCCAGCUCAGCUGCUCCAACGACGGAAGGGUUCACCACAGCAGGGAUCCGCUCUCCAGACUGUCUUUCGCCGCCUCAGAUCUUCUUCCCCGCCGCCGGCAGCCAUGACAACUGCAUUACCAUCAUCAACUGAGCAGAUGACCUUGAGGACUACACGGGUCCGCAAGAGAGGUCGCACUCUUCCGUGUCUGCUUACGUUAUGCAUCGCUUAAUAUGAUGACAUGCUACUUUACCGUCGUGUUCACCUAUUAGACUCCGACUCAGGUCCAAACUUAUGCUGAAACUUGAGUUUUUAAAUGGUUGUGGGGUACAUAUUGGGGCAGCAAUCAGUACUAUCUGUCUACUAUCUGGUUAAUCUCGGGUGUCUACUAUGAGUUUCAUGUUGGGUGCAAACAAACAUUAAGGAGCCAUUAUCUGAAUUUUUUAACUAAAGCUAUUAUCUGCCUGCUAUCAUUGGUUUUGGGUCUAUCCACAGUUUGCUACCAUCACUCUGGAUUUGUGCAUGCACUCCUUACAUAAUCUCACUAUGUUUUAUUCCUAUGCAUGUCAGUUAUUGUACACAAUGGAACUGAACAUGUAGAUCAAAAGAGAUGAGCCUUGCGUGGCAAUAAAAUUUCAUGCAGACGUCGCUCCAUGGUGGGCGCAAAGGCAGCCCCCCUCCACCCAUUUCGGAUCAUAAUCAAGAGGAAGAUAACUGUUCUGAGGGGGAUUCAGAAGCAGAAGACCACUCCUAUUUACCCCAUGAGGUCUUCGCUCUAACUUGGCAUGCUGAUGUUGGUUAUAUCAUGCAUAUGGUGCCUUGCAUUGCUUACUUUAUACAUCAAAUAUGUCAACUGCUUAGUUUAGACAUGCUUUGUGUGAAUGCCAUCUGUUUAGUUUAUUCAUCGUUUAUGUGAAUGAUGCAAUGCCAUCUUGUUUAGCCAUGCAUCAUAUAUGUGAAUUUUGCAAUGCCAUCCUGCUUAGCCAGUCAUCUUAUAUGUGAAUUAUAUCAGGCCGCCCUUUUUUUCGUUACAUAUUACAUUGUCAACAAUGUUAGUACAUUCAACUACUCUUCAUGCGCAUCAGCCAUUUGACACGGUGAUGGAAAAUUCUGGAGUGAAAACAAGGUCUUCAGAGCAGACUAUGCUAUCUGACUAAGCGCAUAUCUCGCUGGUUACGGAUAGCUCCUCAGAGGAGGAUUCAGAGACAGAUGACCAGUCCUAUUCCCCCCGAGGUGCAUGCUCUAACUUGGCAGGGUUAUGUUGCUCAUAUCGUGCGUAUGGUAUCUUGCAUUGCCAUGUCAUUUGCUUAGUUUAGACAUGAUUUGUGUGAAUGCCACCUGUUUAGUGUCUAAUUACCAUAUAUGUGAAUUAUGCAAUGCCAUCUUUUUGCAAGACAUCAUAUAUGUGAAUUAUGCAAUGCUAUCUUGUUGCAAGGCAUUAUAUAUGUGAAUUAUGCAAUGCCAUUGUGACGCCCGGAUAAUUAAGCUACAGUAAUUCCCUGCUAAUGAGGCCACGUCACCGCGAUUACUGUUGCUAAUCUCAUGAUGAUUCAAAUCUCGUUCAAAGUGAAAUUCAAAAACAAGUCAAACAAAUAAAGUUUUCAAAAGUUAAAACUAAAAUGUUCAAGAUGGGUCAAAUAAAUCAUGAGUAAUUAUGGUGGAGAAACCACAUUUUGGUAAACUAGUUAGAUGCUCAAAAAUAAACAAAACAAUAACAAAAACAAAUAAAUAAAUGCCUUUUUUCAAUUAAUAAAAUAUUAACUAAGUUAUUUAAUUUCCCAAAACUAUUGGGGGAGUGGCAUGUUUAUUAAAACUAAAUUAGGUACAACUUUGGUAUUUUACAAAACUAUAAUAAAAUAAAAUAAAUAAAAGAAAACAGAAAAGAAAUAAAAUAGAAACCAAAGAAAAGAAAGGCAAAGCCCCCCUCCCCCUGGGCCAUUCGGCCCAACUGGGCAUCCAGGCCACCAGGAGGCCCACCCCAUUCCCCCUUAUCUCCCCGAGCGACCGAACCCUAGCCCAACCAGCCCCCACGAUCCCCCACUCUCCCUCGUCUCUCCCCCCACCUCUCGAUCCCGAUCUGGAUCGGGAAGGGGGGGAUCGAACCCGGCGACCNNNNNNNNNNNNNNNNNNNNNNNNNNNNNNNNNNNNNNNNNNNNNNNNNNNNNNNNNNNNNNNNNNNNNNNNNNNNNNNNNNNNNNNNNNNNNNNNNNNNNNNNNNNNNNNNNNNNNNNNNNNNNNNNNNNNNNNNNNNNNNNNNNNNNNNNNNNNNNNNNNNNNNNNNNNNNNNNNNNNNNNNNNNNNNNNNNNNNNNNNNNNNNNNNNNNNNNNNNNNNNNNNNNNNNNNNNNNNNNNNNNNNNNNNNNNNNNNNNNNNNNNNNNNNNNNNNNNNNNNNNNNNNNNNNNNNNNNNNNNNNNNNNNNNNNNNNNNNNNNNNNNNNNNNNNNNNNNNNNNNNNNNNNNNNNNNNNNNNNNNNNNNNNNNNNNNNNNNNNNNNNNNNNNNNNNNNNNNNNNNNNNNNNNNNNNNNNNNNNNNNNNNNNNNNNNNNNNNNNNNNNNNNNNNNNNNNNNNNNNNNNNNNNNNNNNNNNNNNNNNNNNNNNNNNNNNNNNNNNNNNNNNNNNNNNNNNNNNNNNNNNNNNNNNNNNNNNNNNNNNNNNNNNNNNNNNNNNNNNNNNNNNNNNNNNNNNNNNNNNNNNNNNNNNNNNNNNNNNNNNNNNNNNNNNNNNNNNNNNNNNNNNNNNNNNNNNNNNNNNNNNNNNNNNNNNNNNNNNNNNNNNNNNNNNNNNNNNNNNNNNNCCAGCCCACCCGCUCCGGCCGCCGUAGCUCCUCUCGCCUGCGCCCGCCAGCGCCCCGCCGUGGCCGCGACCAUCGCUCGAUUCUGCCCCGACGGGCGCCCCCGCCAACGCCCAGACGGGCUGGCGCCCGUGGCCCGUUAGCCGUCGCCCGCUAAGCUCCCCAGGCCCACUGACCAGGGGGCCCCACGCCCCUUUUCUAUACAGAAAGGAUUUACAAAAAAAAGAAAUAAAUAAAUAAAUUUAAUUAAUUAUUUAACUUAAUUAACACUGUUUAAUGAACCUAAUCACUUAAUUAAACAAACUAGUUCUGAUUAGGUAAACUGAGUCAAUGACAAUUGGGAUCCACACGUCAGUUUGACCGGUCAACGGUCACAGUUGACUGCUGACGUCAGCAAACACUAUUCUGGAUAAUGUUGAAUUAAAAUGAUUAAAUAAAUGCUAAAAAUGAUUUAAAUCCUUUAAAAUCAAUAUAAAAUAAACCGUAGCUCGGAUGGAAAAACAUUGUACAUGAAAGUUGCUCAGAACGAUGAGACGAAUCCGAAUACGCAGUCCGUUCGUCUGCCACACAUCCCUAGCAUAGCAAACACGCAACUUUCCCACUCCGGUUCAUUUGUCCAAAAACGCAAAACACCGGGAAUACUUUCCCGGAUGUUUCCCCACUUCGCGGGUAUCACCUACUACUGCGUUAGGUCACCUCUAGCACCGCGUAUUGCCAUGCUACGCUUUGUGAUGCUUUGAUUGCUCUGUUAUUUAUUGUGUUCCCCCUCCGUUACUUCUUUUCGGUAGACCCCGAGACUGCCGGCGACCCCCAGUUCGACUACGGUGUUGACGAUCCCUCCUUCAUGCCAGAGCAACCAGGCAAGCCCCCCCCCUUGAUCACCAGAUAUCGCCUAUUCUUCUCUAUACUGCUUGCAUUAGAGUAGUGUAGCAUGUUACUGCUUUCCGUUAAUCCUAUCCUGAUGCAUAGCCUGUCAUUGUUGCUACAGUUGUUACCCUUACCUGCUAUCCUACUGCUUAGUAUAGGAUGCUAGUGUUCCAUCAGUGGCCCUACACUCUUGUCCGUCUGUCAUGCUAUACUACUGGGUCGUGAUCACUUCGGGAGGUGAUCAUGGGUAUAUACUAUAUACAUUAUAUACAUGACACAUGUGGUGACAAAAGUCGGGUCGGCUCGAGGAGUACCCGCAAGUGAUUCUGAUGAGGGGGCUGAAAGGACAGGUGGCUCCACCCCGGUAGAGGUGGGCCUGGGUUCCUGACGGCCCCCGACUGUUACUUGUGGCGGAGCAACAGGGAAGGUUGAGACCACCUAGGAGAGAGGUGGGCCUGGCCCUGGUCGGUUUCGCAGAUACUUAACACGCUUAACGAGAUCUUGGUAUUUGAUCUGAGUCUGGCCAUUUGGUCUAUACGCACUAACCAGCUACGCGGGAACAGUUAUGGGCACUCGACGUCGUGGUAUCAGCCGAAGCGCUUCUUGACGUUAGCGACGGAGCGGCGCGCGCCGGAUUGGACUGGAACGCCUGCUAGGCUAGGUCUGCUUCCGGCCGCCCUCGCAACGUGCAGGUGUGCAAUGGGCGAUUGGCCCAGACCCCUGCGCGCAUAGGAUUUAGACCGGCGUGCUGACCUCUCUGUUGAGCCUAGGUGGGGCUGCGACGUGUUGAUCUUUCGAGGCCGGGCAUGACCCAGAAAAGUGUGUCCGGCCAAAUGGGAUCGAGCGUGUUGGGUUAUGUGGUGAACCCCUGCAGGGAAGUUUAUCUAUUCGAAUAGCCGUGUCCCUUGGUAAAAGGACGACCCGGAGUUGUACCUUGACCUUAUGACAACUAGAACCGGAUACUUAAUAAAAUACACCCUUCCAAGUGCCAGAUACAACCCGGUGAUCGCUCUCUAAUAGGGCGACGAGGAGGGGAUCGCUGGGUAGGAUUAUGCUAUGCGAUGCUACUUGGAGGACUUCAAUCUACUCUCUUCUACAUGCUGCAAGAUGGAGGCUGCCAGAAGCGUAGUCUUCGACAGAAUUAGCUAUCCCCCUCUUAUUCUGGCAUUCUGCAGUUCAGCCCACUGAUAUGGCCCUUUACACAUAUACCCAUGCAUAUGUAGUGUAGCUCCUUGCUUGCGAGUACUUUGGAUGAGUACUCACGGUUGCCUCUCUCCCUCUUUUCCCCCUUUCCUUUCUACUUGGUUGUCGCAACCAGAUGCUGGAGCCCAGGAGCCAGACGCCACCGUCGACGACGACUCCUACGACACUGGAGGUGCCUACUACUACGUGCAGGCCGCUGACGACGACCAGGAGUAGUUAGGAGGAUCCCAGGCAGGAGGCAUGCGCCUCUUUCGAUCUGUAUCCCAGUUUGUGCUAGCCUUCUUAAGGCAAACUUGUUUAACUUAUGUCUUUACUCAGAUAUUGUUGCUUCCGAUGACUCGUCUAUGAUCGAGCACUUGUAUUCGAGCCCUCGAGGCCCCUGGCUUGUAUUAUGAUGCUUGUAUGACUUAUUUAUGUUGUAGAGUUGUGUUGUGAUAUCUUUCCGUGAGUCCCUGAUCUUGAUCGUACACAUUUGCGUGCAUGAUUAGUGUACGGUCAAAUCGGGGGAGUCACAAGUUGGUAUCAGAGCCAACUGCCUGUAGGAAUCCCCCUUUCCACACUCCUUGGCCGAAGUUGAGUCUAGUCAUUGAAAAAGUUUUUACUAACAUGGCUGUGCGGCUUACGGGCCCACGUCGCCAUUGGGUGGUAUUAGGAUCUUUUACUCCUUGCCUAUACUCUGGGACUCUGAUCUCUCUUCUAUUCGGGUUAAAUGAUUUUACUAAAUCUAACAUUAGGAUCUCGUUAUCACUUUCACCCGGAGAGCCCCUUAUUACUGAUGAUCGUCUGUUUUACGUGAAGACCCUGAAGAUACUCUCCGCUAAUAACCCGAGAACUUGUGUUUAUCGCUUUUGUAAUUCCCUUUUCAUCGAUAAACUCCUAUGGAUAACCGCGUAUACUCGCCAUUCAUACAAUGUUUCCUAGUUGAUCUUGUUAUUACAAGAUACCCCGAAAUUAUCUCUGUUGUUCCGAGAAUCCUUGAGCUUACUGCCUUGCUGUUCUUUGUCACCUGAAUACCCCUACGGAUAAUUCUCGCACUUACCGAGUAUCCGGUCAUCCCCAGUUGGUUCAAGUAUUCCACAAUAGUCUUCAAAAUACUAUUCGAUCUUUCGAAAAUCCUCAGGAGCCUUUUUGCUCUUGAAAUUCUUGCUUACUUGCAUUAUGAUUAAUCUUAAGUCUAUAAUCUUAUUGGCAUCUCUUGUCAUUAUCAUUUUGAGUCCGUUGAUUCAAUUUGUUGCGAAAGCUCGCAAUCCUCAAUUAGAUCCUAGAAUUCAUCCUUCCGGCUCAGACGUCAUUUUAAACGUGAGCUGGAUCUCGACCAAUCAAAUUUGCCAUCGAUUGUACCCGUAAGUUUACUCGAAUUAUCCAUCCUCAAUCAGAGCGUUUGCUUUUGAUCCCUUGAAUUUGAAAUUAUAAUUCCUUUGCAUUGAGCUUUGAGUUAGUCAGUUGUUUCUAUAAUCUGAUCUCCUUGCAUUCUUUCUUCCUCUGAUUGAGUACUGAUGCUCACAUCAGAUCCCUUGUGGACCAUCAGACCCUUUUGUCGGAUUUUAUCCGACAAUGUCCUUCAUAUUAAAUAAGCUUGUGAGCUUUUCCUCGGAUACCUGAUGCCUUUGGUAAAUUGUAUCCUCUGCUUUGUGAACCAUGCUCUACUUUCGAGCUUGUAUUAUUUACUCCGAAGUUUGUGGUAUAUGUUCCUAAGAUGCCCUGAUGGGUUGAACCUACGCCUUCCCUAAUCCGUGUGAACCCGAAAGAUUUCACGGGUCAUACUUAUCUGGUAUUACAUCAGGUAAAAAAAAACUUUCAACAACUAAUGUCAUUUUCGAAAUACGAGAGGUAAAUGAAAGGUUAUGCAUUGGAGAAGUGGGAGUCGACCUUGAACCCUGUGUUCAUGCCCAUGGACACGAUGUAUACCUUAUCAUGGAAGCUUCUCUUAAAAUAAUUAUCCCCUUGUAAUAAGUUCAUCUGGUAUCCGUGGACGUGGUUCCGACCAUGUUCUCCUUUAAAUACCAUUUCUCGUACAAGUUUAAGCACUUGUCUUCUAUAAGGGCAAUACCCCAGUCCAACCUCUACUUUGGUUUGUCGUCGAGUAUUACCCCCUGGUAUCUCGAGAUUGUCACGGAACUGCAUAACUUCUUAUGAGUUCUUCAUCAACUAAUACUCUUGCUGAUUCCAUUUUUCCAACGGGUUCUGAGUUGUUAGGACCCCUCAAGGACACCGACAACUGAAUCGAGUCCGCACUGCGAUUCAACAACUCUUGGUAACCUUCAUUACUUACGAGUUUGAACUCGAUCACGUCAUUCCUAGUCUACUCGACUACAUCAUUAUUGUGCUGAUUUUAACUGUGCUGCCUGGUCCUUAUUCCCGGAGCACCACUUUCGACGAUGAGCUAAGCUUACGUCGAUUUUCCUCGUCAUAUCAUUCCGCCUUGGACAACAAGCUUGAUUUUGAGUUUGUGUCCUACCCAUGGUUCCAAUAACCGUCCGCUUCAUCAUUCCUUUGACUUGAUGUCGCCGCUGAUUGAUUACAUCUUCAUCAAAUCUCUCGACAAAUGUGUCGUGAUCAUUGUCAACAAUUUGACUUCUUCCAAGUUGUGUGUCGAAAUUCAGGAUGAGAAAUACCAUCCUUGCCCCUCGAUGAAUUGUGUUAUCAUCGACAACAUUCUUGCCUCCCCCCCAACACAAACUUGUUCAUAUUUUGCGUUAUAUCUUGAUUUCCUUGCUAUCCAGCAUAUGUUCUUCUUCACCUUGGAGUAUUACCAGCUUUUAUGUCAAGAAGGUCGUGAGAAUUGCUCCGCCUCUUAAAAUUUCUUGGUAUAGUGAUACUUCUCACCAUCACCAUUCUUUCUUGGCCCCAAUGUUGAUUCUAACCGGAAUGCCAACAAGUGAACGGUGCUGCUUGGAUUCUGUACUCCUUAGCAACCCUAUUGCUUUGGAGUUAAUGGUCGACAGUUCAUCCUUAGACUAUUGGAUAACGUAUCACCAUUCUAACAUUGAUCAUGCUAUCUAAUCCCACAUUUCGGGUGCACCUUUCAACCAGUGUUUAAUUAUGUAUGUUUUCCUCGAGCACACACCAUUAUGUCAUUUGCUCUAACUAAUGUUAUCUCCUUGUUCACAUAGUUGUGGAAAUCCAUCUUUUGGAAAUCUCAAUAGAUUGUCGCUGAGUCAAUCAGUCACCUCCUCACCUCUCCUUGAUUUAAUGAUGAACCCUUGUUCGGAACUUGCUUCCAUAGUUCAUUUCCCGAGAAUCUUACAAUGUCAUCUCGUCAAAUUGUGCCGCACCUUCUCUUCUCAGGCAUCCUAAGUCUGAGGUAUCCUGACACCAAUCAGAACUGAAUCUCGGUCAGAUAUGAUGGUUGGAACAUAUUUCCAAGAGUUAUAACAUUGGUCUUUAUAUGACCCGGUAAGGUGAUGUCGUGCCUAGCACACCUGGCCGGAGGACCUAUUGUUACCAUUUCCUUUUAGCAAGGCUAUCCUUUUCUUCCAUGAGGAAAUUGUAAGACUUAUUCUACAAGCGGUUCCCGAUGGACCCUUUUUGUUUCUAAAGUCUGAUCUUCACCUGAUAACCAUGUCAAGGCUAUCUCGAUGCAUGUCUGUGGUAAUCCAAUUUUCAACAAGAACAUUUGAAGCCCAAUGUUAAAUGUUUCUCGCUCAAUUAUCCAAACACCGUUGUAUGGGUAAUGACAUGAAAUUUCUCUCACCUUACCUAAAGAGUUUUCUACAUUAUAUCCUGUCCUGGAUAUCAUGCUCUGCUUGUCCUUGGGAAGGAUAUACCCUUGAAAUAUGUGUUUAAAUACAUUUUCCUUUCCAUUGUUCUGUUUAAAUCUGAUAAUCAUAUCUUCCUUUCCAUUGGUUGGUUUAACCUUUCUUGUGAUUUAUAAGAUCUGAGCAGUAAUAAGCCACUGCUUUUGUAAGCACCUCGGUGUACGACUUUGUCAGUAAGAACCUGUUACUAUGGUCGAUGAUAUUCCGGUAACCACUGAUGGACGAGAACUUUGCCUAUUGCUUCGCCUCGUUUCGACGAGCAGGAAAAUGGUUCUCUUCGUCCCUCGCCCUUGGUACCGAUGUUGUUGCCGACAUAAAAGACAGGCUACCCUUUGACAUGCCUUGCUUGCAUGAUCACGCAAGACGUCUCCGCCCUUCCUACUUUUAACUCACAUGGUGGGCCCAUAACCCACAGUUCCACAGGAUCAAAACCUGACUCUCUUGUACAACCCUAUCUCUAAUGGUUAUUCCUCACGCUUGACUUCGUAUUUAAUUCACGGGCCACCUUCCUAGUGUUCUACUCUGGUAUCAAACGCAAUACUUACUCUCGCUGCCCUGAACCCCUUUUCCUCUCUGGUUCAGACUUCGAGCAACUAUCUAUCCGCUUGGAACCUCUUAUUGUACCUUCGUACCUUACUCUCGAUGUAUUUUAUAUGUUCAACUCGAGAGAUACUCAUGGGUUCAUUCCUGGGAUAACCCCAAAUGAGUUCCCCUUACACCAUUCUAUCAUUUUAGAGCAGCCCCUUACCUAUUUGUAAGUACGGCGGUAUUUUCCGAAGAAAGGAGGACGACUUCAUCAUGAUGACCUGGAGCAGAGGAAUGAAGGCAUCGAUGUAAUGGAUUGACCUCUUCGAGAAGAGCAACCAACACAGAGAAGACCCGUUAGAAUUUCGUAACCAAAUCCCUUUCCGAUUACUCCCGCUCCUAAAUCUCGGGACGAGAUUUCUUUUAGUGGAGGAGAAUUGUGACGCCCGGAUAAUUAAGCUACAGUAAUUCCCUGCUAAUGAGGCCACGUCAACGCGAUUACUGUUGCUAAUCUCAUGAUGAUUCAAAUCUCGUUCAAAGUCAAAUUCAAAAACAAGUCAAACAAAUAAAGUUUCCAAAAGUUAAAACUAAAAUGUUCAAGAUGGGUCAAAUAAAUCAUGAGUAAUUAUGGUGGAGAAACCACAUUUUGGUAAAAUAGUUAGAUGCUCAAAAAUAAACAAAACAAUAACAAAAACAAAUAAAUAAAUGCCUUUUUCAAUUAAUAAAAUAUUAACUAAGUUAUUUAAUUUCCCAAAACUAUUGGGGCAGUGGCAUGUUUAUUAAAACUAAAUUAGGUACAACUUUGGUAUUUUACAAAACUAUAAUAAAAUAAAAUAAAUAAAAGAAAACAGAAAAGAAAUAAUAGGAAAAUAGAAACCAAAGAAAAGAAAGGCAAAGCCCCCCUCCCCCUGGGCCAUUCGGCCCAACUGGGCAUCCAGGCCACCAGGAGGCCCACCCCAUUCCCCCUUAUCUCCCCGAGCGACCGAACCCUAGCCCAACCACCCCCCACGAUCCCCCACUCUCCCUCGUCUCUCCCCCCACCUCUCGAUCCCGAUCUGGAUCGGGAAGGGGGGAUCGAACCCGGCGACCCCGACGNNNNNNNNNNNNNNNNNNNNNNNNNNNNNNNNNNNNNNNNNNNNNNNNNNNNNNNNNNNNNNNNNNNNNNNNNNNNNNNNNNNNNNNNNNNNNNNNNNNNNNNNNNNNNNNNNNNNNNNNNNNNNNNNNNNNNNNNNNNNNNNNNNNNNNNNNNNNNNNNNNNNNNNNNNNNNNNNNNNNNNNNNNNNNNNNNNNNNNNNNNNNNNNNNNNNNNNNNNNNNNNNNNNNNNNNNNNNNNNNNNNNNNNNNNNNNNNNNNNNNNNNNNNNNNNNNNNNNNNNNNNNNNNNNNNNNNNNNNNNNNNNNNNNNNNNNNNNNNNNNNNNNNNNNNNNNNNNNNNNNNNNNNNNNNNNNNNNNNNNNNNNNNNNNNNNNNNNNNNNNNNNNNNNNNNNNNNNNNNNNNNNNNNNNNNNNNNNNNNNNNNNNNNNNNNNNNNNNNNNNNNNNNNNNNNNNNNNNNNNNNNNNNNNNNNNNNNNNNNNNNNNNNNNNNNNNNNNNNNNNNNNNNNNNNNNNNNNNNNNNNNNNNNNNNNNNNNNNNNNNNNNNNNNNNNNNNNNNNNNNNNNNNNNNNNNNNNNNNNNNNNNNNNNNNNNNNNNNNNNNNNNNNNNNNNNNNNNNNNNNNNNNNNNNNNNNNNNNNNNNNNNNNNNNNNNNNNNNNNNNNNNNNNNNNNNNNNNNNNNNNNNNNNNNNCUUCUGCUACUCUGCUACUGCUGCCGCCGCGUUUCCCUGGCGCCUGCGUCGCCGUGGCUUCCACCGGGCCACUUCCCUGCGGCCAUCCGCCGCGCUUCACCCACUGCUGCCGCUCGCCGCCGCCCAGCCUCACCCGCUCCGGCCGUCGUAGCUCCUCUCGCCUGCGCCCGCCAGCGCCCCGCCGUGGCCGCGGCCAUCGCUUGAUUCCGCCCCCACGGGCGCCCCCGCCAGCGCCCAGACGGGCUGGCGCCCGUGGCCCGUUAGCCGUCGCCCGCUAAGCUCCCCAGGCCCACUGACCAGGGGGCCCCACACCCCUUUUCUAUACAGAAAGGAUUUACAAAAAAAAGAAAUAAAUAAAUAAAUUUAAUUAAUUAUUUAACUUAAUUAACACUGUUUAAUGAACCUAAUCACUUAAUUAAACAAACUAGUUCUGAUUAGGUAAACUGAGUCAAUGACAAUUGGGACCCACACGUCAGUUUGACCGGUCAACGGUCACAGUUGACUGCUGACGUCAGCAAACACUAUUCUGGAUAAUGUUGAAUUAAAAUGAUUAAAUAAAUGCUAAAAAUGAUUUAAAUCCUUUAAAAUCAAUAUAAAAUAAACCGUAGCUCGGAUGGAAAAACAUUGUACAUGAAAGUUGCUCAGAACGACGAGACGAAUCCGAAUACGCAGUCCGUUCGUCUGCCACACAUCCCUAGCAUAGCAAACACGCAACUUUCCCCCUUCGGUUCAUUUGUCCGAAAACGCAAAACACCGGGAAUACUUUCCCGGAUGUUUCCCCACUUCGCGGGUAUCACCUACUACUGCGUUAGGUCACCUCUAGCACCGCGUAUUGCCAUGCUACGCUUUGCGAUGCUUUGAUUGCUCUGUUAUUUAUUGUGUUCCCCCUCCGUUACUUCUUUCCGGUAGACCCCGAGACUGCCGGCGACCCCCAGUUCGACUACGGUGUUGACGAUCCCUCCUUCAUGCCAGAGCAACCAGGCAAGCCCCCCCCCUUGAUCACCAGAUAUCGCCUAUUCUUCUCUAUACUGCUUGCAUUAGAGUAGUGUAGCAUGUUACUGCUUUCCGUUAAUCCUAUCCUGAUGCAUAGCCUGUCAUUGUUGCUACAGUUGUUACCCUUACCUGCUAUCCUACUGCUUAGUAUAGGAUGCUAGUGUUCCAUCAGUGGCCCUACACUCUUGUCCGUCUGCCAUGCUAUACUACUGGGCCGUGAUUUCGGGAGGUGAUCACGGGUAUAUACUAUAUACAUUAUAUACAUGACACAUGUGGUGACUAAAGUCGGGUCGGCUCGAGGAGUACCCGCAAGUGAUUCUGAUGAGGGGGCUGAAAGGACAGGUGGCUCCACCCCGGUAGAGGUGGGCCUGGGUUCCUGACGGCCCCCGACUGUUACUUGUGGCAGAGCGACAGGGCAGGUUGAGACCACCUAGGAGAGAGGUGGGCCUGGCCCUGGUCGGCGUUCGCAGAUACUUAACACACUUAACGAGAUCUUGGUAUUUGAUCUGAGUCUGGCCAUUUGGUCUAUACGCACUAACCAGCUACGCGGGAACAGUUAUGGGCACUCGACGUCGUGGUAUCAGCCGAAGCUCUUCUUGACGUCUGCGACGGAGUGGCGCACGCCGGAUUGGACUGGAACGCCUGCUAGGCUAGGUCUGCUUCCGGCCGCCCUCGCAACGUGCAGGUGUGCAAUGGGCGAUGGGCCCAGACCCCUGCGCGCAUAGGAUUUAGACCGGCGUGCUGACCUCUCUGUUGAGCCUAGGUGGGGCUGCGACGUGUUGAUCUUUCGAGGCCGGGCAUGACCCAGAAAAGUGUGUCCGGCCAAAUGGGAUCGAGCGUGUUGGGUUAUGUGGUGCACCCCUGCAGGGAAGUUUAUCUAUUCGAAUAGCUGUGUCCCUCGGUAAAAGGACGACCCAGAGUUGUACCUUGACCUUAUGACAACCAGAACCGGAUACUUAAUAAAAUACACCCUUCCAAGUGCCAGAUACAACCCGGUGAUCGCUCUCUUACAGGGCGACGAGGAGGGGAUCACCGGGUAGGAUUAUGCUAUGCGAUGCUACUUGGAGGACUUCAAUCUACUCUCUUCUACAUGCUGCAAGAUGGAGGCUGCCAGAAGCGUAGUCUUCGACAGAAUUAGCUAUCCCCCUCUUAUUCUGGCAUUCUGCAGUUCAGCCCACUGAUAUGGCCCUUUACACAUAUACCCAUGCAUAUGUAGUGUAGCUCCUUGCUUGCGAGUACUUUGGAUGAGUACUCACGGUUGCCUCUCUCCCUCUUUUCCCCCUUUCCUUUCUACCUGGUUGUCGCAACCUGAUGCUGGAGCCCAGGAGCCAGACGCCACCGUCGACGACGACUCCUACGACACUGGAGGUGCCUACUACUACGUGCAGGCCGCUGACGACGACCAGGAGUAGUUAGGAGGAUCCCAGGCAGGAGGCAUGUGCCUCUUUCGAUCUGUAUCCCAGUUUGUGCUAGCCUUCUUAAGGCAAACUUGUUUAACUUAUGUCUUUACUCAGAUAUUGUUGCUUUCGAUGACUCGUCUAUGAUCGAGCACUUGUAUUCGAGCCCUCGAGGCCCCUGGCUUGUAUUAUGAUGCUUGUAUGACUUAUUUAUGUUGUAGAGUUGUGUUGUGAUAUCUUUCCGUGAGUCCCUGGUCUUGAUCGUACACAUUUGCGUGCAUGGUUAGUGUACGGUCAAAUCGGGGGAGUCACAGCCAUGCUGUUUAGCCAAGCGUCAUAUAUGUGAAUUAUAUCAUGUCGUCCUUUUUUUGUAUUUCUCAUUGCUUUUGUCGACAAUGUUUGUAUAUUCAACUGCUCUUCCUGUGCAUUAGCCAUUUGAAUUGGUGAUGGAGAAAUCUAGAGUGAAAACAAGGUCUUCAGAGCAGACAAUGUUACCUGGUGAAGCAGAUAUGUUGCUUGUUACAGAUAGCUCUUCAGAGGAGGAUUCAGGGGCAGAUGACCAGUCCUAUUAUCCCCCUGAGGUGUAUGCUCAAACUUGGCAGGGUUAUAUUACUCAUAUCAUGCAUAUGUUGUAUUGCAAUGCUUAGUUUUUACAUCAUAUACACGAUACUGAAUGCCAUCUCCUUAGUUGACACAUCAUAUAUGCGAUUGCCCUCUGCUCACUUCCUUAGUAUAUAAAUCAUAUAUUUGAAUUAUAUCAUGCCAUGAUGUUUACAUAGACAGCAUGUAUCUGAAUUAUGGCAUGCGAAACCAUUUUCUAAAGACAUAAUAUAGUUAUAUCAUCUCAUCCUGUUCACAUAGUCAUCAUAUUUUGAAUUAUGUCAUUCUAUCCGUGAAUUGUAUCAUGCCAUCCUGUUUCCAUCGACGGCGUUGUGAUUUAUGGCAUGCCAACCACUUUAAUAGACACAUCGUAUAGUUAUAUCAUGUCAUCCUGUUUACAUAGUCAUCAUAUUUUGAAGUAUGUCAUUCUAUCCUGUUUAGUUAACCAUCAUACAUGUGAAAUUGUGUCAUGCUAUCCUGUUUAAUUAGCCAUCAUAUAUUUGAAAUUAUGUCCUGCUAUUCUGUUUGGUUAGACAACAUAAAUGUGAAUUAUUUCAUGCCCUGUUUUCUUCCCUACUAUCCAUUGCACCUGUCUAUCUUACAAUGUCUGUACAUUCAAUUACUUUUCUUGUUUAUCAGCCAUUUCAAUUGGAGGGGGUGAUGGCAGUAUCUGUGGGAGUAAAAACACGGUCUUCAUAAAAGAUCGUGCUACCUGUCGAUGGAGAUAGAACUACGGUUGUACUUGCCCAAGAACCGGCGCCACCACACAUAACUGAUAAUCCCCAAGUGCAAGGAAUCAUCGUAGCAAUUUCCAAAGGUGGAAGUGAUAAGUAUGGAGUGUCGAACCCACAAGGAGCUAAAGGUAAGAUCAAUAUUCUCUCAAGCCCUAUCUGCCACUGAUACGACUCUACGUACACCGAACGUUUGCUUCCAACUAGCAACGAGAAAUAAAACUAUGUUGUGGGUAUGAAGAGGAUAACUUUGUAUGAUAUCGGAGAGCUAAAAUAUGAAAGUAGGUGCUGUUAUCAUAAAGUUAGAAUAUAUUACUAAAUAUUAUAAAUAGCGAGUCUGGAAUAAUGGUGGAUCGGUGUGCGGAAUUGUCCUAGGCAAUUAUUAACAAGACCGGUAGUCGUCAUUGCAAUUUCAUAUGAGGGAGAGGCAUAAGCUAACAUACUUUCUCUACUUGGAUCAUAUGCACUUAUGAUUGGAACUCUAGCAAGCAUCCGCAACUACUAAAGAUCAUUAAGGUAAAACCCAACCAUAGCAUUAAAGCGUCAAGUCCUCUUUAUUCACAUACGCAACAAUUCCUCUUACUCGGGUUUGUGUUUCAGUCACUCACCAACCCACUAUAAGCGAAUCAUGAACGUAUUGCAACACCCUACAGCGGGAAUCCCUCAUGCUUGCGCGACACAGAGGGCACCAUAGGACAACACCAAAAUAAAACAUACAACUCUUACCAAUCUAUAUCAGCAAUCAACCCAAGGACAAAAGAUAUCUAGUCAAAACAUCAUAGGAUGGCAAGACAUCAUUGGAUCAUAAUAUGUAGCAUAAAGCACCAUGUUCAAGUAGGGAUUACAGCGGGGUGCGGGAGAGUGGACCGCGUAAAAGAGAUGAGGAUGGUGAUGUUGAUGAAGACGAUCACCGUGGCGAUGAUUCCCCUCCCGAUGGCACUCCGACGCCACCGGAAGAUACGAGGAGAGGUUCUCCCCCUUGUGCUUCCUCCUCCAUGGCCUCCCCCCCUAGAUGGGGAAAGGUUCUCCCUCUGGUCCUUGGCCUUCAUGGCAAUGAUAGCCUCUCCGGGAUACUCCUCCAUGGCCACCGGUGAUGAUGGCCCCCUCCGGCAGGGUGCCGGAGAGGGCCUAUAUUGAUUUCUCGUGGCUACAGAGGCUUGCGGCGGCGGAACUUCCGAUCUAGGUUUCUUUCUGGAAGUUUGGGUAUAUAUGAGAGGUGUUGACGUUGAUUUCACGUCAGGGGGGUUUCCGGGCUGUCCACGAGGCAGGGGGCUCGCCCCCCACCCUCGUGGGCAGCCCGUGACUCUUCUGGCCUACUUUCGGUACUUUGUGGGCUUCUUCUGGUCUAAAAUUUCUGCGAUACUCUAAAACAAGGAGAAAACAGAAACUGGCACUGGGCUCUAGGUUAAUAGGUUAGUCCCAAAAAUCAUAUAAAAAUGUAUAAUAAAACCCAUUAAACAUCCAAGAUAGAUAAUAUAACAGCAUGAAUACUUCAUAAAUUAUAGAUACGUUGGAGACGUAUCAGCAUCCCCAAGCUUAAUUCCUGCUCGUCCCCGAGUAGGUAAAUGAUAAAAGAAAUAAUUUAUGAAGUGUGAAUGCUAGCAAGUGCUUAAGUUUGAUCAAUGAUAAUUCUAAUCACUUUUUCUAGCAUCAUUAUAUGUCAUAACAGUAGCUUAUCUCAUAAAACUUUGCAUGAUCAAGUAACAAGCUAUUCACAUGUUAAAGUAUAUAUCAUAAACUUUCUUGAAAACUAACAAGCCGUGUUAUCAGUCAUCAAACAAUUACAAUUCAUCUUAUUUUCAGGAAGAGACUAUGUCAGAGCUUUGAUUUAGCAAACCCCACAUACUCAACUAUCAUUUAGUCUUUCAUAAUUGCUAACACUCACGCGAUAUUUAUGGGUUCAAAGUUUUAAUCAGACACAGAGGAAGAUAGGGACUUAUAGAUUCACCUCCCAACCUUUUACCUCAAGGGUAAUGUCAACAAUAAUAGUUCAUGAUGCCUUACCUCCAAUUGGAUAUAUAUAUCAGAAUCUUUCCAACACAAUGUGCUUGCCAAAGGAUAAAUUGUAAAAAGGAAAGGUGAAAAUCACCAUGACUCUUGCAUAAGGUUAAGAGAUAAAAGUAAAAGAUAGGCCCUUCGCAGAGGGAAGUAGAGGUUGCCAUGCGCUUUCAGGGUUAGAUGCAAAAAAUCUUAAUGCGAAAGAACGUCACUUUAUAUUGCCACUUGUGAUAUGGACCUUUAUUAUGUAGUCCGUCGCUUUUAUUUCUUCCACAUCACAAGAUCGUAUAAAGCUUAUUUCCUCCACACUAAUCAAUCAUACAUAUUUAGAGAGCAAUUUUUAUUGCUUGCACCGAUGACAACUUACUUGAAGGAUCUUACUCAAUCCAUAGGUAGGUAUGGUGGACUCUCAUGGCAAAACCGGGUUUAAGGGUAUUUGGAAGUAGAAGUAGUAUCUCUACUUAGUGCAAAGAAUUUGCUAGCAUGAGGGUGAAAGGCAAGCUCCACGUGUUGGGCGAUCCAUGACAAUAUACUUUAUUUCAGAUAUAAGAAAACAUAACCCAUUACGUUGUCUUCCUUGUCCAACAUCAACCUUUUAUCAUGUCAUAUUUUAAUGAGUGCUCACAAUUACAAAAGAUGUUCAAGAUAGUAUAUUUAUAUGUGAAAUCCCUCUUCCUUAAAUAUUCUUUCAUGAAUUGUUCAAGUGACCAAUUCUACGUUCGCUAACUUUCAAUAAGUUUACCACCUAUACUUAUUAUGUGAAGUCAUUACUCCCCAUGUUAUAAGCAUAUGAAACAUAUAUAAAUUCAGAUUUAUGACAUUCAAUUUAUCCAACCGUUUACUCAUAGGAUAUACAUGAAGCACAUGAGUAAAUGACAAACUACUCCAAAAGAUAUGAGUGAAGAACACUGAGUAGUCAAAUAAUUAACUAGCCAUGGGAGGAUUCUUUUUCAUUCAAUAUUUCAGAUCCAAUGAUUUUAUUUAAACAGCAAGUAAAAUUGAAAAUAUGCUCCAAGCAAAACACAUAUCAUGUGACGAAUAAAAAUAUAGCUCCGAGUAAGGUAUACAGAUAGUUUUGAAGACGAAAGAGGGGAUGCCUUCUGGGGCAUCCCCAAGCUUAGGUACUUGAGUCUUCCUUGAAUAUUACCUUGGGGUGCCUUGGUCAUCCCCAAGCUUAGGGUCUUUCCACUCCUUAUUCUCCUCAUAUCGAUAUCUCACCCAAAGCUUGAAAACUUCAAUCACACAAAACUUCACAAAACUUCGUGAGAUAGGUUAGUAUGAUAAAGAGUAAACCAUCCACUUUGGUACUGUCUAAGACAAGGUUCAUAAUUUUUACCACACAAUGUCUACUGUACCAUAUCAUUUCUACAAUUUAUAUUGAGAAAUAUAAGUCAUAGAAAUUAGAAAACAAGCAAACUAUGCAAUGAAAACAGAAUCUGUCAAAAACGGAACAGUCUGUAAUGAUCUGAACAUAAACCAUACUUGUGCUACUCCAAAAAUUAUGAAAUAAAUUGGUGUACGUGAGGAAUUUGUCUAUUAAUCUUCUACAAAAAGAAUCAACUCGAAAGCACUCUUCUGUAAAAAAAUGGUAGCUAAUCUCGUGAGUGCAAAGUUUCUGUUUUUUACAGCAAGAUCACAUUAACUUUCACCCAAGUCUUCCCAAAGGUCUUACUUGGCACUUUAUUGAAACAAAAGCUAUAAAACAUGAUUACUACACUAGCUUAAUCAUGUAAACACACAAAAACAGUAAGGGUAAAUAUUGGGUUAUCUCCCAACAAGCGCUUUUCUUUAAUGCCUUUUAGCUAGGCGUGAUGAUUUCAAUGAUGCUCACAUAAAAGAUAAGAAUUGAAACAUAAAGAGAGCAUCAUGAAGAAUGUGACUAGCACAUUUGAAUCUAAAAAAAUUCCUAUGCCUAGGGAUUUUGUGAACACAUAAUUUAUAGGAACAAGAAUCAACUAGCAUAGUAAGGCAAAACAAGUAUAACUUCAAAACUUUAAGCACAUAGAGAGGAAACUUGAUAUUAUUGCAACUCCUACAAGCAUAUAUUCCUCCCUAAUAAUAAUUUUCAGUAGCAUCAUGAAUGAAUUCAUCAAUAAAACCAUCACAUAAAGCAUUCUUUUCAUGAUCUAUAAGCAUAGAAAUUUUUCUACUCUCCACAUAAGCAAAAUUCUUCUCAUUCGGAAUAGUGGGAUCACUAAUUCCUAAAGUUGACACUCUUCCAAACCCACUUUAGAUGAUAGUAUUGUUCAUACUCCAAAAGAUAUAAGUGAAGUUCAUGGAGCAUUCUACAAUUAAUAUAGACUAACCAAUAUCCAAGCUCAAAAUGUAUAAGUGAAGCACACAAAGCAUUCUAUAAAACCAUACUCAAAAGAUUUAAGUGAAGCACAAAGAGCAAUUCUAUAAGAUCAUACUUAAAAGAUAUAAGUGAAGCACAUGAAGUAUUCUAUAAAUUUAUGAAGGGACAUCUCAUACUAGCAUGGUUCUUAAAUAAAAAGAAAAACACAAAGGACACAGAUCAAGUGAACAAAACAAAAACCGAGGUAUACCAAUAUUUGUUGAAGAAGAAAGAUGGGAUGCCAACCGGGGCAUCCCCAAGCUUAGAUGCUUGAGUAUCCUCUGAAAUAUUUACUUGGGGUGCCUUGGGCAUCCCCAAGCUUGAACUCUUGCCUCUCUUUAUUCUUCUCAUAUUGAUAGCUCCUCGAUCUUCGAACACUUCAUCCACACAAAACAUUAACAAAAACUUUGUGAGAUCCGUUAGUAUAAUAAAGCAAAUCACUACCUUUAGGUACUGUUGCAAACUUAUUCUUUAUUUAUAUUGGUGUUAAACCUACUGUAUUCCAACUUCUCUAUGGUUCAUACCCCCUGAUACUACCCAUAGAUUCAUCAAAAUAACCAAACAACACGCGAAAAACAGAAUCUGUCAAAAACAGGACAGUCUGUAGUAAUCUGGAAGUUUAGUAAACUUCUGUAACUCCCAAAAUUAUGAAAUAAAUUUGAAAAUUUGAAAAAUUUGUACAAACGUAAUGUGAAAAAAGUUUCAGACCCAUUUUACCUUCCAGUAAAAAACGUAAAUUCAUGCACUACAGCCAAAGUUUCUGUUUUUGUUCUGCACAUAGUAAACAAGCAAUCUAAUCAACCCAAAACCAAAGCUUGGCACAUUAUUUUUAUAAUACAAUGUAUAUAUACAAGGGGAUAAUUAUUUACAGAGAAACUUCCAUGAAAAAUUCUACAUUGUUUCCGUGAGCAUGAACACAAGUGCUCAAGGUCGACCCUCAGUUCUUCAAUGCAUAACUUUCCAAUCACUUCUCUUUUUGAAAAACUUUUUAGGCAUGAGAGGAAAGUAAAUUUUUUUGUAUUUUCAUUCUUUUAAAAAAAAUUGUAUGUUUCACCCACAACUAAACAGAAACAAAAAGGAAAAAUGAAAUCUACUUAGUGAAGAAAGCAAACAAGCACGCACGAGAAUAUCAACCCCACGCUAUUGCUCCCCGGCAACGGCGCCAGAAAAGAGCUUGAUAAUCCCCAAGUGCAAGGAAUCAUCGUAGCAAUUUCCAAAGGUGGAAGUGAUAAGUAUGGAGUGUCGAACCCACAAGGAGCUAAAGGUAAGAUCAAUAUUCUUUCAAGCCCUAUCUGCCACUGAUACGACUCUACGUACACCGAACGUUUGCUUCCAACUAGCAACGAGAAAUAAAACUAUGUUGUGGGUAUGAAGAGGAUAACUUUGUAUGAUAUCGGAGAGCUAAAAUAUGAAAGUAGGUGCUGUUAUCAUAAAGUUAGAAUAUAUUACUAAAUAUUAUAAAUAGCGAGUGUGGAAUAAUGGUGGAUCGGUGUGCGGAAUUGUCCUAGGCAAUUAUUAACAAGACCGGUAGUCGUCAUUGCAAUUUCAUAUGAGGGAGAGGCAUAAGCUAACAUACUUUCUCUACUUGGAUCAUAUGCACUUAUGAUUGGAACUCUAGCAAGCAUCCGCAACUACUAAAGAUCAUUAAGGUAAAACCCAACCAUAGCAUUAAAGCAUCAAGUCCUCUUUAUUCCCAUACGCAACAAUCCCUCUUCCUCGGGUUUGUGUUUCAGUCACUCACCAACCCACUAUAAGCGAAUCAUGAACAUAUUGCAACACCCUACAACGGGAAUCCCUCAGCUUGUGCGAUACGAAGGGCACCAUAGGACAGCACCAAAAUAAAACAUACAACUCUUACCAAUCUAUAUCAUCAAUCAACCCAAGGACAAAAGAUAUCUACUCAAAACAUCAUAGGAUGGCAACACAUCAUUGGAUCAUAAUAUGUAGCAUAAAGCACCAUGUUCAAGUAGGGAUUACAGCGGGGUGCAGGAGAGUGGACCGCGUAAAAGAGACGAGGAUGGUGAUGAUGAUGGUGAUGAUGAUGAAGAUGAUCACUGUGGCGAUGAUUCCCCUCCCGAUGGCACUCCGGCGCCACCGGAAGAGAGGAGGAGAGGUUCUCCCCCUUGUGCUUCCUCCUCCAUGGCCUCCCCCCUAGAUGAGGAAAGGUUCUCCCUUUGGUCCUUGGCCUUCAUGGCGAUGAUGGCCUCUCCGAGAUACUCCUCCAUGGCCACCGGUGAUGAUGGCCCCCUCCGGCAGGAUGCCGGAGAGGGCCUAGAUUGAUUUCUCGUGGCUACAGAGGCUUGCGGCGGUGGAACUUCCGAUCUAGGUUUCUUUCUAGAAGUUUGGGUAUAUAUGAGAGGUGUUGGCGUUGAUUUCACAUCAGGGAGUUUUCGGGCUGUCCACGAGGCAGGGGGCGCGCCCCAGGGGGGUGGGCGCGCCCCCCACCCUCGUGGGCAGCCCGUGACUCUUCUGGCCUACUUCCGGUACUCCGUGACCAUACUACAUAGAUAUAUGUUUGUUUCAUGCUGUUAUCCUGUCCACCUUACUACUGAACUGGUUUACCAAAAUGAGUUUCAUAUACUACAUUGUAAACCUGUGAUGUGUUUGUUUGUUUCUCCUUUAGAACGCGGAUAAAAUAUUGGAGAAGAGUACCCCGUUAUGCAAUGGUAAAGGAAGUAAUGCAGAUCAGGUUCAGGAUAGUGAGACAUCCCUGUUGUUCUCCAAGAAAGCUGAUAAAAACUAUAUUGAAGACACUGAGACAACCCCAAAGUCCUGUCUUGAUGUAGUGUUCGAGUUACUGGCUACUACUGCUGGCACCAGCUCUUCGUACUCGCUGCCUGAAUCAGUUCAGCUUCUUGAGUCUCAACUUCAAGUUGAAAGACAUCGAUCAGAUGUUAUGCGACAGGAAGCCUAAGGACUGAGGAAGUCCCUGCAGAAUUCAGAUGCAUACUUUCUAGUGCAACAACAAGUGCUGGAGGAUUUACGCGCCAAACAAGAGAAAGUUAAUAAGCUUGCUAAGCAUCUUGCCAGCAUUAUGGGUACCCAGGAUAUUGUUUCUUGAGCUCUUCUGAAGUGGUUUCAGUUCUGGACUUGUUUUUCUGCGGCGUUUAUAUGCUGCUUUGUUCCCUAUAUUUGCACUUGUGGCGAACUUUGAUGCCGAGUGGAUGUAAUAUGUGUAAUAGCCGUGAUAGCCUAGCGUAAGUUGCUUGCUUAUUUAUUUUCGUUGUCUUGUUUAUUUGUUUUCUUGUAGUCAGUGCAGUUCUUUUUCCGCGGUUUGCUAGUGGCCGGAAUAACCUAUUUUUUAAAACUAGGCCACAUUAACAAUGGGCUACAUAUUUACUGUAGUUAACAUGGGCCUCCUACGGGCCGUAGAAACAAUGGGCCUUCUAAGGGCCGUAGAAACAAUGGGCCUUCUACGGGGCGUAGACACAAUGGGCCUUCUACGGGGCGUAGACACAAUGGGCCUUCUACGGGCCGUAUCAUCAAUGGGCCUUCUACGGGCCAUAUGAUCGGUUGGCCAAACAUGGGCCAAUAACAGACCACAUUAUGGUCGUAAAUGGGCUAGAGUUGAAAUCGUCCGUUCAUGGGCCGACCAUAAUGGGCCGUCGUUAAUAGGCCGUAUUUGAUGACGCUAUGAAAACGGCCCAACGUAUUAACGGGCCACAAACGGGCCAGCUGUAACCACAGGCUGUAUUUGGCCCACAAGCAGAAAAUGACAGUAACGGGCCGAAAGUAAACGAAUGCUGGAAAUGAGCCCAAGAAUAAAUGGGCCCUCAGCAGGCCGAAAGAUAACAUGGGCUGGAAACGGCCCAACGGAAUAAUGGGCCGUUAAUGGGUAUAAAGUGAUACACUGUUCAUUACGGGCCAGUUUUACCACGGGCCGUUAAUGGGCCGAGGGUUACUAAGGGCCUCAUAUGGGCCAAAAGACAUCAUGGGCCAUACAUGGGCCAAAAGUUAAAACGGGCUGGAAUUAUAUUGGAUGGCCCAGAUGACGUUACUGGGCCUAAUUCGGAUAGGCCGUAAACGGGCCUGGGUUAGCGGGCUGUAAAUGGGCUAUAUGCGAACAAGCCGUUAACAGGCUUGCCGUGGGCCGGCCCGCCACCUUUUGACCAAGUCAAACGGGCCGGCCUUUUCACAGGAAUGGGCCUCUGUUGGGCCAUGCCACGUGUCGACGUAUCAUAGGCGCUUUGGGUCCAAUGAGUGGAUGACGUCUAUCCCAACGGUGAGCUGACACGUGUUUCCUCCAGCCAAUGAUGAUUUUACACGUGGAAAAUCCCCAUUGGUCGGGGCUGUUAACGGGUUAUCGGAUCCAAAACCGGACCCGAUAGCUUAACGGCAUUCCGUUACGGUGGAUGCCAUGUGUCGGUCACCCUUGACGAAAGCACUUCUAUGACGCGCGAUUUAUCGUCAUGGAAGUGGACACUUCCGUGAUGAUAAUUUUGGUAAUGUCAUCGAACACUUCUACGACAGCACAUGUAUGACUAUCUUGAUUCUGUCAUAAAUUUGUCAUGGAUGUACAUGCAUGACAGAAAACGUGAUCUACUGUGACAAACACGUAUCAUCACGGAAGUGUAUUUUUUUGUAGUGAUAGGGAACACCUUUCAUUUUCUCUCUAUCUUCUGCAGUGGUCGGGCAUUGAGUCUGACUCAACUUCACACCUUGUAACACACGCAAGAACCCUUUCUUUGCUUGAUCCAUUUUGAACUUCUUCAAAACUUUAUCAAGGUAUGUGCUUUGUGAAAGUCCAAUUAAGCGUCUUGAUCUAUCUCUAUAGAUCUUGAUGCCCAAUAUAUAAGCAGCUUCGCCGAGGUCUUUCAUUGAAAAACCCUUAUUCAAGUAUCCUUUUAUGCUAUCCAAAAAUUCUAUAUCAUUUCCAAUCAACAAUAUGUCAUCCACAUAUAAUAUUAGAAAUGCUACAGAGCUCCCACUCACUUUCUUGUAAAUACAGGCUUCUCCAAAAGUGUGUAUAAAACCAUAUGCUUUGAUCAUACUAUCAAAACGUUUAUUCCAACUCCGAGAUGCUUGCACCAGUCCAUAAAUGGACCGCUGGAGCUUGCACACUUUGUUAGCAUCCUUUGGAUCAAUAAAACCUUCAGGUUGCAUCAUAUACAACUAUUCUUCCAGAAAUCCAUUCAGGAAUGCAGUCUUUACAUCCAUUUGCCAAAUUUCAUAAUCAUAAAAUGCAGCAAUUGCUAACAUGAUUCGGACGGACUUAAGCAUCGCUACGGGUGAGAAGGUCUCAUCAUAGUCAACUCCUUGAACUUGUCAAAAACCUUUCGCAACAAGUCGAGCUUUGUAGACAGUAACAUUACUGUCAGCGUCAGUCUUCUUCUUGAAGAUCCAUUUAUUCUCGAUGGCUUGCCGAUCAUCGGGCAAGUCAACUGAAGUCCACACUUUGUUCUCAUACAUGGAUCCCAUCUCAGAUUUCAUGGCCUCAAGCCAUUUUGUAGAAUCUGGGCUCAUCAUCGCUUCCUCAUAGUUCAUAGGUUUGUCAUGGUCAAGUAACAUGACCUCCAGAACAGGAUUACCAUACCACUCUGGUGCGGAUCUUACUCUGGUUGACCUAUGAGGUUCGGUAGUAACUUGAUCUGAAGUUACAUGAUCAUCAUCAUUAGCUUCCUCACUAAUUGGUGUAGGAGUCACGGGAACAGAUUUAUGUGAUGAACUACUUUCCAAUAAGGGAGCAGGUACAGUUACCUCAUCAAGUUCUACUUUCCUCCCACUCACUUCUUUCGAGAGAAACUCCUUCUCUAGAAAGGAUCUAUUCUUAGCAAUGAAUGUCUUGCCUUCGGAUCUGUGAUAGAAGGUGUACCCAACAGUCUCCUUUGGGUAUCCUAUGAAGACACAUUUCUCCGAUUUGGGUUCGAGCUUAUCAGGUUGAAGUUUUUUCACAUAAGCAUCGCAACCCCAAACUUUAAGAAACGACAACUUUGGUUUCUUGCCAAGCCACAGUUCAUAAGGUGUCGUCUCAACGGAUUUAGAUGGUGCCCUAUUUAACAUGAAUGCAGCCGUCUCUAAAGCAUAACCCCAAAAUGAUAGCGGUAAAUCAGUAAGAGACAUCAUAGAUCGCACCAUAUCUAGUAAAGUACGAUUAUGACGUUCGGACACACCAUUAUGCCGUGGUGUUCCGGGUGGCGUGAGUUGCGAAACUAUUCCGCAUUGUUUCAAAUGAAGACCAAACUCGUAACUGAAAUAUUUUCCUCCACGAUCAGAUCGUAGAAACUUUAUUUUCUUGUUAUGAUGAUUUUCCACUUCACUCUGAAAUUCUUUGAACUUUUCAAAUGUUUCAGACUUAUGCUUCAUUAAGUAGAUAUACCCAUAUCUUCUCAAAUCAUCUGUGAAGGUGAGAAAAUAACGAUACCCGCCGUGAGCCUCAACAUUCAUCGGACCACAUACAUCAGUAUGUAUGAUUCCCAACAAAUCUGUUGCUCGCUCCAUUGUUCCGGAGAACGGCGUUUUAGUCAUCUUGCCCAUGAGGCAUGGUUCGCAAGUACCAAGUGAUUCCAAAAGUCCAUCAGAAUGGAGUUUCUUCAUGCGCUUUACACCAAUAUGACCUAAAUGGCAGUGCCACAAAUUAGUUGCACUAUCAUUAUCAACUCUGCAUCUUUUGGCUUUAGUAUUAUGAAAAUGUGUAUCACUACUAUCGAGAUUCAAUAUAAAUAGACCACUCUUCACGGGUGCAUGACCAUAAAAGAUAUUACUCAUAUAAAUAGAACAACCAUUAUUCUCUGAUUUAAAUGAAUAACCAUCUCGCAUGAAACAAGAUCCAAAUAUAAUGUUCAUGCUCAACGCUGGCACCGAAUAACAAUUAUUCAGGUCUAAAACUAAUCCCGAAGGUAGAUGUAGAGGUAUCGCGCCGAGCGCGAUCACAUCGACUUUGGAACCAUUUCCCGCGCGCAUCGUCACCUCGUCCUUAGCCAAUCUUCGCUUAAUCCGUAGUCCCUGUUUCGAGUUGCAAAUAUUAGCAACAAAACCAGUAUCAAAUACCCAGGUGCUACUGCGGGCAUUAGUAAGGUACACAUCAAUAACAUGUAUAUCACAUAUACCUUUGUUCAAUUUGCCAUCCUUCUUAUCCGCCAAAUACUUGGGGCAGUUCUGCUUCCAGUGACCAGUCCCUUUGAAGUAGAAGCACUCAGUCUCAGGCUUAGGUCCAAACUUGGGUUUCUUCACUUGAGCAGCAACUUGCUUGCCAUUCUUCUUGAAGUUCCCCUUCUUCCCUUUACCCUUUUUCUUGAAACUGGUGGUCUUGUUGACCAUCAACACUUGAUGCUCCUUCUUGAUUUCUACCUCCGCAGCAUUUAGCAUUGUGAAGAGCUCAGGAAUUGUCUUAUCCAUCCAUUGCAUAUUAUAGUUCAUCACGAAUCUCUUGUAGCUUGGUGGCAGUGAUUGAAGAAUUCUGUCAAUGACACUAUCAUCAGGAAGAUUAACUCCCAGUUGAAUCAAAUGAUUGUUAUACCCAGACAUUUUGAGUAUAUGCUCACUGACAGAACUCUUCUCCUCCAUCUUGCGGCUGUAGAACUUAUUGGAGACUUCAUAUCUCUCAAUCCGGGCAUUUGCUUGAAAUAUUAACUUCAACUCCUGGAACAUCUCAUAUGCUCCAUGACGUUCAAAACGUCGUUGAAGUCCCGGUUCUAAGCCGUAAAGCAUGGCACACUGAACUAUCAUGUAGUCAUCAGCUUUGCUCUGCCAGACGUUCAUAACAUCUGGUAUUGCUGCUGCAGCGGGUUUGGCAACUAGCGGUGCUUCCAGGACAUAAUUAUUCUGUGCAGCAAUGAGGAUAAUCCUCAAGUUACGGACCGAGUCUGUGUAGUUGUUACCAUCAUCUUUCAACUUAGCUUUCUCUAGGAAUGCAUUAAAAUUCAACGGAACAACAACACGGGCCAUCUAUCUACAACAACAUAGACAUGCAAAAUACUAUCAGGUGCUAAGUUCAUGAUAAAUUAAAGUUCAAUUAAUCAAAUUACUUAAGAACUCCCACUUAGAUAGACAUCCCUCUAAUCAUCUAAGUGAUCACGUGAUCCAUAUCAACUAAACCAUGUCCGAUCAUCACGUGAGAUGGAGUGGUUUUCAAUGGUGAACAUCACUAUGUUGAUCAUAUCUACUAUAUGUGUCGGUGUGGAACGACACCUAUGGGAUCACAAGAACCCCUACUACGGUUGUCGGGGCGCGGGUUGUGAGAAGAGCAGGAUUAGUAAUCAGCACAAGGAUCGUUUACCCAGGUUCGGGCCGCGAGGAUGCGUAAAACCCUAGUCCUGCUUUGGUGGGUGUAUUUCAAAGAGUUCUUGAUCUCUCAAACUAGCUGUGGGGAGUGUGUGGUUCGAAAGAGCUGAAUCCUUCUCCAGUAUGCCAUGGGCCUCCUUUUAUAGUCGAAAAGGGCUACCACAGUGGCACACAGGAGGUGGAAAGGCGCAUAGUGCUAUGAGCUUAUCGCUCAUAUUAUAGGACAAGUCGCAUUUAAUGCACCGCUGAGGUGUCCCCUAGCUUUAUCGGGGAUGGGGGCGAGGCUCGUCCCGUCCGUCGCCGCUCCUCCUCGCUUCGACACGCGCCCUGGCUAGCGAUGUGUGCGGAGCCAUGUAGGCAGGAGGGCAGCUGAGGUGGCGCGGUGGUAGGGUCUUCACGAAGAUUUGCAUGCCGCCACGCAGGCGCCUGCUGAGUUGGCCUGGAAGCUGCAUGUUGCCACGCAGGUGCCUGCCCAGCUGGUUUGGGCUGGCAGCUGCAUGCGAACAGCGGUGGAGACUUGGCUGGUGCGGGCCUGGCAGUGGCCCUGCUGGCGUCUUCGGCGAGGGCCUUGCCAGGGGGGUGGGCGGCAAGGGUCUUGCCGUGGUGCGCUGUCGUCCCCGGCAAGGAUCUUGCCGGGGGUCUUGUGGCUCUCCUCGGUAAGGAUCUUGUCGAGGAUCGCUGUCUUCUAAUCCUCAUCUGAUCUUGAAUAUGUCUUCACAAAGAUCUGCAUGCCACCACAGAGGUGCCUCCCGAGCCCUGACCCCACGUGGAUGAUGGUGUUGGGGACCGUGGGCUCAAGGGUGGGUCGCUCUGUUGGUGUGGGACGAGCUGCCCCGGCAAGGAUCUUGCCGGGGCUGCUGAGGCUGCCCCGGCAAGGGUCUUGCUGGGGGAACCUGCUUCGUCCCUCUGCUCUUUGUGUUCUUGGCCUUGGCGUUGCUCUGGCUAUCUUGGGCUCCGGUCUUACCUUGGCUCACCUCCCCUGUUCUUCUUGGUGUGACCGUGGGCGCGGCUCCGACUGCCCGUGCACAGGUAAAGGGGUACAAAAGUGCGCCCCUCAUUUUGUACACCGACAGGAGCCCCCGGGCCUGGGCCACACAUAAGCGCGACACGUUGUUGGGCCAGGCCCAAAACGGUGCGCGGGCAGGCGGGGCGGUUUUUACCAUGGUAAAACUUUUUCGCGCGCUGCGCUUCCCACUACCCGCGCGUGGCGUGGAGGGGUGUGCAUGACGUGGGCGGCAUGCGUGGGGCGGUUCCUGCACGCAUGCGUCACAUCGCAGUAAAUGGGCAGCUCGCACCUUCCCCAUGAAAGGAGGGAGGCGCGGCUUAUUUACUGCGCGGGGCCGGGUUGCGGUCUUCAAGGCGUCCACACCCCACGAUCACGGGGUGGGGAGAGGUCGCUUCACCCGUCCCCUAGAUUCUGCCCGUUUGCCACGCAUCCUCCAUGCGCUUGGGCUGGCAAGCGGUGGAGGCAGGAAACCGGGCCGUUGCUGGUUGGGGCAGCGGGUCGGUCUCGAUUCCCUGCGCCUCUGGUGGCUGGAUUGGCCGAGCGGGGCGGCCAAGCCCCGACCCCGCCCCUUUAUAAGGAGGGGGAAGGGGGAUGGCAUCCCGCACUCUUCUGUCAUCUAUCUCCUCCUGCUUCCGCUUCUUCCUUUUACUUGCCAUGGAGAAAGGGAAUCCUGGUCCUUCAUCGGUCGCGGCGAGGGUCGCUGCUCGACAGCGCGUCCCUCCCCCUCCUAAGCCCGUGGUGGUGGAGCCGGCCGCGAGGGGAAGGGGGAGGGGGCGAGGCUGUGGGCGAGGCCGGGGCAGAGGUCGUAGUGCUCAGGGAAGAGGAGGACGGGGCGGCGCGCCGGCUUCGCCCCCGCCAAUGAAGCCUUUUCCGAUGGAAGGCCAUGUCGGAGACCAGCCCCGCGAGUUCUUCAUCAGGCUGCGCCGGCCUCCGCGUCGCCGUCUUCGUCUUCCCGCCCCGUUUUCUCGGGAGAUGGAGCGUGACCCGUCCCAAUCCCUCAGAUUGCACAUGAGGGGCUGUGGGAAUGGGGGCACGCGGGUCGACGUCGACUUCCCGGCUCCUCAGCUCAUGUACCUCCGUCGUGGAUGGAAGACGUUCGCUCGCAUCCACAGCCUGACGGCGGGGCUCGUCCUCUACUUCAAAUUAAUGGAGGAUGGCCUGCUCUCCGUCAAGGUCUUCGGAGACUUUGGGACUCGCCUGAAGUGUUGGGUGGAGAGCUCCUCCGACGGAGAUUCCGAUGAUGGAAGCUCUUCCUCGAGCGAAAGUGAUGAGGAGGACAGCGGGGCAGAUGACGGGGACUAGUCCGACUAGGCGCCGGACGCCCCGCACCUGGGCGGGUGCGGCAGCAGCAGCAUCUGCACCUGGCCGCUCCUCCGGCAUAGUUUUGCCGGGGGUGGGGCCAGCUCCUUGAACUUCUCGGGGCCGUCUCCUUGGGCGGCUGGCGUUGGGAGGCUGCGGAAGAGGAAGAGGGCAGGCGGCAAGGCCGUCAACUCGGAGUACGCGGGCACCGACGCCUUCAUCACGUAUUGCCGGUCCUGCCGCCUCGUCUUCCAGCUCCUUUCCCGGCACCGUCAUCACCGGCCCACCCGUGGGCGGCCACCGAGGUGUUCUCUUGGUGCUUUCUGCUGCUCGUAGCUCGCCUAGGCGCCCCUUUUGCCCUUUCGCCUCCUUGACCUGCCUCCUGGGGAGAGGGACAAGAAAGGGAUCACGGGCAUCUCAUCUCUUUUUUAAUCUGUAAGCCUUCGGGCCUUGUUAAAUUUAAAGCUUGUAAUCCCCCUUGUUCAUGUUUUUCAUUCCGUACGGACUGUACCUGUGUGGGAUGUUUUUUAAUGAAAAAGGGAUGUUUGCCGGGUUUUUCGUUCGUGGGUAGACCCCGCGACAAGGAGCGAAUCCUUGUUACAAUUUAAGAUAAAUGUUUUCACCCGGCAACAGGCCUUGCCGUCUCCCAACUUCGCUCGACCAUUCUCGCGCCCUUGGCGGAGGCAGGGAUGAAGCGGGCUUAGGCUCCUCGUUCUACUUCCUUGCCACCGCGACUACAACCAAAUCCGGGCCCAGGAGAUAAUCCUUGGGAAUAGAAAAGGGGAGCACGGUGGCCUAGAAAUAAAACGAGGUUUCACAUAUCCCAGUUCCGUUCCGAAAUGCAUGAUAGAGGAUGAAAGACUUAUCUGGAUCUGCAGCCCCCGGCAACCUUGUCUUGCCGUGGUUGGAUCCUUGUGCUUGCAGCCCCCGGCAACUCUGGUUUGCCGGGGUCGGGACGUCGGUCCGUUUCCUUUCUUCCAAGUAGCUCAGCAGAAAUGCUCAUGUGCCCUGCGAACCAAAGGAGGACAGAAAAGAAACAGAUAGACGCGCACUCGACCUCUAGGCUAGGGGCUAGUCGCCGCUAAGCACUAUCAACCCUAACCAAGGAAGAGACUCGACCUAGCAUGCAUGCUAUAACUUAGGGCGCCAGCGCUUCAUUUAUUUAUGCUCGGGGUCUACGCCUGGCUUUGUACGAAGGGUUACAUGCCUUGCCGGCAAAGCUUGUACAAAAGGUGGCUUGCCGGGAGGCCCGGCAAGCCACGCCUUAUGGGUAAAACUUGCGAAGAUGCUCGAUGUUCCAGGAGUUGCUCACUGGGACAGCAUCUUCGGUCUCCAGGCGGACUGUGCCGGGCCUGGUGACUCGCAUUACCCGAUAAGGGCCUUCCCACUUUGGCAUCAACUUGUUGGAAUUCUUGGCCGACUGAACGCGCCGAAGAACAAGGUCGCCUUCCUCAAAGCUUCGGGCAUGAACCUUGCGGCUAUGGUAGCGGCGUAAGGCUUGCUGGUAGCGUGCUGCUCUCACAGCCGCCCGAAGACAAUCUUCCUUAAGGAGCGUCGCGUCAUCUUGGCGCAAUUGCUCUUGCUCAAGCUCAUCAUAAGCGAGCACUCAAGGUGACCCGUAUAUGAGUUCCGUGGGGAGAACUGCUUCUGCCCCGUAUACCAGGGCAAAAGGUGUCUGGCUGGUGGCUCGAUUUGGCGUCGUCCUGAUCGACCAAGAACCGCCGGCAACUCAUCAAUCCAGCGCCUUCCACUCUUGUGCAGCUUGUCAAAGGUCUUCGUUCUCAGGCCUCGCAACACUUCAGCAUUUGCCCUCUCCGCUUGGCCGUUGCUCCGUGGGUGUGCCACAGAAGCAAAACAGACCUUGCUACCGAGGUCUUGAAUGUAUUGCAUGAAGGUGUGGCUUGUGAACUGCAUGCCGUUGUCGGUGAUGACUCUGUUUGGCACACCAAAACGUCAGACCAGUCCCUUGAAGAACUUGACGGCUGAUUGAGCAGUCACCUUUCUCACUGCUUCCACUUCCGGCCACUUCGUGAACUUGUCGAUUGCAACGUACAAGUACUCAAAGCCCCCGACAGCGCGGGGGAAAGGGCCCAGUAUAUCGAGCCCCUAGACCGAGAAUGGCCAGGAGAGAGGGAUUGUUUGAAGGGCUUGAGCUGGUUGAUGAAGCUUAUUUGAAUGGAACUGACACGCUUCACACUUGGUUACUAGUGCCAUCGCAUCCUGGAGGGCGGUGGGCCAGAAGAAACCUUGCCAGAACGCCUUUCCGGCAAGGGCCCUUGACCCUAUGUGGGAGCCACAUAUGCCUCCAUGUAUCUCUGCCAACAGCUCCAGUCCGAUGCACUUCAGUUUCACACCAUUCGGCCUUCUCCUGUAUGGGACGUCAUCGACGAACUAGUAUAGGGCGGACCGACGGGCUACUUUCUCCGCUUCUUCCCGUUCCUCAAGAAGCUCCCCUGUUUGGAGGAAUUGGACGGUAUGCUGCGCCCAUGCAGGAGCCUGGGGCUCGACGGCAAGGACCAAAGGCAUCUCUUCCGCCAUGGGAGCAGCUGUCUCUACCGCCAGGGCUUGACGCCCUGCCGGAGCCAGUUGCUCUUGGGCAGGCCAAGCGUCCGCGGCAGCACCCUUGCCGGCAGCCCCAGGGGGCUCGGUAGGAAAGUACUUGCCGGGACCUGACUUCCUCCGCUUGUUCUGCCCCGUUGAUGGCUCGACGGAUGGUUGAGUUAACCGGAGCAAAAAGGUACCUGGUUCCACAGCUAGCUUGAAUGUAGCACGCUUUGACAGGUAAUCGGCGAUGUCGUUCUCCAUUCGGAGGACGUGCUCCGCUUGGAUACCGUCAAAGCGUUCCUGCAGCUUCCUCACCUCAUGUAUGUAGGCCUCCAUCAAUGGGCUCUGGUAAUCCUUGUUGACCUGCCUAACAACAAGCUGCGAGUCAUCCCUGACGAUGAGCUUCUUAACCCCGAGGUCUGCCGCGAUCCUGAGACCAGCGAGUAAUCCCUCGUACUCAGCAGUGUUGUUGGUGGACAUCUCCCUGGGGAAGUGCAUCUGGAUCACGUACUUGAGGUGCUCUCCGGUGGGCGCGAUGAGUAGAACACCGGCAUCGUUGCCUUGCAGCGAGAAAGCCCCAUCAAAGUACAUGAUCCAGUCGCGGUCUGCUUUCUUGCCGGGGAGAGUGGUCUCCUGGAUUUAUUCGUCAGGCGUUGAGGUCCAUUCUACAACGAACUUCACCAAGACUCUGCUCUGGAUUGUCGAGGUACUUUCAAACUUCAAACUGAAACUUGAUAACUCCAAGGCCCACUCCACAAUCCUUCCGGUUGCAUCUGGGUUAUGCAGUAUCCGUUACAACGGUAGGCGGGUGACGACAGUGAUCUCGUGGGCUUGGAAGUAAUGGCGCAGCUUCCUCGAGGCCAUAAGGAGGCCGAAGAGCAAUUUCUGCACACCGGAGUACCUCGAUCUAGCUCCCUGCAAGAGGGAGCUGACAAAGUAAACUGGGUGCUGCAUUAUCUUCUUCUUCUGCACCACCUCACUCGACCGCGCGGGCACUGCCUUGGUGGCAUCAGACUCUGCCGGGGGCCUCGCCUUGCCGGCACCAGGCCCUGCCGGGGGAAUCUUUGGUUUGCCAUCCACUGGUUCUGCCGCCGUCACUGCCUCCCCGUUGACCUCCCUCUGUGCCACCAGUGCGGCGCUGAGCACUUGAUUCAUCGCCGCCAGAUACAGCAGCAAUGGCUCUUGUGGUUUAGGCGCAACCAGUAUUGGUGUGUAGGAAAGGUAUUUCUUCAGAUCCUGCAAUGCUGCCUCGGCUUCUGGGGUCCACCCCAUUGGGCCUGCCUUCUUCAAGAUUUUGAAGAAAGGAAGGGCGUGCUCGGCGGACUUGGAGAUGAAUCGGCUCAUGGCGGCGACGCAGCCGGUGAGCCGAUGCACAUCCUUGAUCCGCUUGGGCGCCUCAAUCUGCUCGAUAGCCUUGAUUUUUUCUGGGUUUGCCUCGAUCCCGCGCUGCGACACGAAGAACCCGAGAAGCUUGCCGGACGGAACACCGAAGACACACUUCUCAGGGUUCAGCUUGAGGUUUAUCUUGCGCAGGUUGGCAAAUGUCUCUUCCAGAUCUUGCACAAGAGUUGCCCCGUCUUUGGUUUUGACCACUAUGUCAUCCAUGUAUGCCUCCAUAUUUCUAUGGAGUUGGGGUUCAAAACCAAUUUGGACUGCUCUUGCAAACAUCGAGCCAGCACUCUUCAACCUCAAAGGCAUCCGUAAAAAGCAAUAUGUACCACAUGGGGUGAUGAAUGCUGUCUUCUCUUCAUCUUCUCUUGUCAUGAAGAUUUGGUGGUAGCCCGAGUAGGCGUCGAGGAAUGAUAACAGAUCACACCCGGCCAUGGAGUCGACAAUCUGGUCGAUGUGCGGCAACGGGAAGGGGUCCUUAGGACAAGCCUUAUUGAUAUCUCUGUAAUCAAUACACAGCCUCCACUUCCCAUUUGCCUUGUGCACCACUACCGGAUUGGCCAACCACGUCGGGUGGAGCACUCCUCUCACCAAACCUGCCGCUUCCAACUUCCCGAUCUCCUCUGUGAUGAACUCCUGCCUCUCCAGAGCCUGCUUUUUGACCUUCUGCUUGACGGGCCGCGCACGAGGACAGACAGCUAGGUGGUGCUCAAUCACCUCCCUGGGAACACCGGGGAUGUCGGAUGCUUGCCACGCAAACACGUCGACAUUCGCCCGCAGGAAGGUGACGAGCGCGUCUUCCUAUUUGCUGUCGAGGGUGGAGCCUAUGGUGAAGGCCCCUCCCGUGCCAUCCUCCCUGGCGGACACCUUCUUGGUCUGCGGUGGCUCGGCUCUGGAUUUCUUGCUCUUGCCGGUAGAGCUCUCUGGCAUGUCCUCGACGGUAGCGUAGCACUCCGAAGAGGCGUGCUUGCCGGAGUGGGUGCGAGAGGUCUUGCCAGGCUUUCUCUUCCCUUCCAGGCCUUCAGUGGCAGGAACUGGUGCCUUGACGGCAGCUGCUGCAACUGCUUCCCGGUAGAGUUGGUCGGCGCAGAUCAGCGCGUCCUUCUUGUUGGAGGGGACGGAGAUGAUGGUCAACGGCCCGGGCAUCUUUAGCAUGUUGUAGGCGUAGUGUGAUGCUGCCAUGAACUUGGCUAGUGCCGGGCGGCCGAGGAUCCCGUUGUAGGGCAAGGGGAUCUCGGCCAUGUCGAAGGUGAUCCUCUCCGUCCUGUAGUUCAACUCUCCUCCAAACGUCACGGGCAGUGUGACCUUCCCCUUCGGCUGGCUCCUCCCCGGAUUGACCCCUUGAAACGUGCCCGUUUCCUCGAGGUCUCCAUCAGGAAUUUGCAGCCUUUUGAUCAUGACAGGCGAGAUCAAGUUCAGGCCGGCCCCGUCGUCAACCAACAUCUUGUUCACCUUGAGGUUGCGUAUCGUUGGUGAGACCAACAAUGGCAAACACCCGACCGCGGUUGUGCGGUCAGGGUGGUCCUCGGCGUCAAAGAUGAGGGCCAUGCUGGACUACUUUAGCGGCUUCUGAGCGUCGAACGACGGCUCCGCUGCCGUAAUCUCACGUGCCCACUGUUUGAGCUGGCGGUGAGAAGUAUGCAGCGAGGCACCACCAUCGACGCACAUGGCCUCCGUAGCCUUCUGGAACUCGUGCUCACUGGACUCGUCGUCCUCGUCGUGAUCAUUGUCUUCUGUUUCUUGUCACGGCCUCGGGCAGGCCUCUCUUGUUGGUUGUCCUUGCCGGGGCGGCUUCCUUGGCCGCCACGCUUCUUGCCGGAUCCCUCGGCACCGUCCUGAACUUUCUCCUUGUCCCGCCUUUCGUACUCAGCCUUUUGCUUUUCAGCAAGCAGCUCGACUUGUCGGCAGUUCUGGAGGUCGUGGCCCUUGGUGCGGUGGAUCUUGCAGUACUGGUUGCCGGAGCCCCCUGGCUUGUCGGCAGCUGCUAAGGCCCGACAAGCGGCGCACCCGGCAAUCUCCUUGCCGGGGCCGUCUGCCUUGACCUUUUUGGCAGCGCCGGUGUCGUCAGACCCCUCGACGGCAGGUACGGCCUUGCCCUUGCAUUUCCUGUUGCGACGCCGGCCCUUCUUCAUCGGGGUGGCGGUGUAUUCGUCGGUAGAGUCGGUUUCCGCACCGGCAUCUUCGCCAGGGUACUUCCUUCCCUCUUCAGCCCAGGUGCAUCUAUCGGCCAAAACGUAGAGCUCGGCCACAUCCUUAACCUUGGUCAUCGCCAGCUCUUCGCGCAUCUUGCGGUUGCGCAUGUUCUGAUGGAACGCGCUGAUCACAGCGGCGGGAUGAACGUCGGGGAUGUUGUACGGCACCCGGCUGAAUCUUUGGAUGUACUUGCGCAGGGUUUCCCCUUCCUUCUGGGAAUGAUAUGCAGAUCACUAGCCUGGCCAUGAGCUUGGUGGCCUCCUGUGAAGGCGCCAACGAACUCAUGGCACAGAUCUAACCAAGAAGAAAUGGAAUCCGCCGGCAAGUGCAUCAACCAAGACAUAACAUUGGGCUCCAGUGCCAGCGGGAAAUAAUUGGCAAGCACCUUGUCGUUACGAGCUCCGGCAGCCUGCAUCGCGAUGGUGUAGAUGCUGAGGAACUCGGACGGAUGGGUCUUGCCAGUGUACUUCUCGCCGACGUCAGGCUUGAACGUGCGGUGGGACGGCCACAUGAACUGCCGCAACUCACGGGUAAAGGUCGGGCAGCCCACCUCGUAAGGUAGGCCGCCGGAGCCCCCUGGUGCUGGGCGGUCCAUAGCAGGUCCCGCCUGCUUGUCCGACUAGUGGUGUGUAUCGCGCCGGCGCGCGAUGGUGGUCCGAGCAUCUUCGUGAGCUCGUUCUCGAAGAACUUGGUGCUGGUCGCAGAGGGUCUGCGGGUCGGACGACGCUAUGGAGAUGUUAUCACAAGUGUCGUCACGACGGGCCGACGCCUGCGGCGACUGGCGAGGAGGAGGAGAGUGCACCGUGGCCGCAGCUCCCCCGGUCCUCCCAGCGCCAGCACGUGGCGGCUCGAUGGAGUGCUGACCCGAGGGCCCCGCCGGUCGCGGAUCGUCUUUGUUGGCGACGGCGACGAGGCUCCGAAUGGUGGCCCUCCACUCGUCGAGCUUCUCUGCAGCAGGAGGGAAGUCGAGGAGCAGUUGCGCGCGUGCCAAAGCUUCUGCUAGCGUGGGCGGCGGCGACAGCUGCGUGGAUCGCGGCGCGCUUCGACUUCUAACUGCGUUAGAAGGAGCUCCGUUACGACCCAGCGGCUGCGUGCCAUUUUCGCCAGCACUUUAGCGGGCAUGCUGAACCCCUUCAUCCCGCGGAUGACUCACAGGGCACUUCCCACGGCGGUGCCCAGGGUCACCAGCGUGGUGACGCUGCUCGGCGUGCACACCAUGGGAAGAGCGCACAGUGGUCGCCGGUGUGGGCGUCUUGGAGGUCGCUGCACCGCACGGAGGUGGCACAACGACACCCCUCGAGGGCCCCGCGCCGCCUGCGGGGGGGCCAACUCCGUCUUUGGAUCUGGCGGCGUGCGGCCGGUCGUCUGGCGCGCGAACGACGCCGCUUGCCAGGCUCUGACUGCCAGGGCGAUGCUGGUGCUCGCGGACCGCGGCCCGGGUCCUGUCCGCGACCGGUCCACUGCUCGUCCGCAUCGGCACGGGCCGUUCGGUUCCCAACGAGCCGAUCGCCGUGGCCAUCUUCUUCUUGGGAGCCAUGGCGACGAAGAGCUGCUAGGCUAACUACUAGACCAGAUUCUCACAAUUGCGCUCCCUACCUGGCGUGCCAAAGAUGUCGGUGUGGAACGAUACCUAUGGGAUCACAAGAAUCCCUACUACGGUUGUUGGGGCGCGGGGUUGCGAGAAGAGCAGGAUUAGUAAUCAGCACAAGGAUCGUUUACCCAGGUUCAGGCCGCGAGGAUGCGUAAAACCCUAGUCCUCCUUUGGUGGGUGUAUUUCAGAGAGUUCUUGAGCUCUCGAACUAGCUAUGGUGAGUGUGUGGUUCGAAAGAGCCGAAUCCUUCUCCAGUAUGCAUGGGCCUCCUUUUAUAGUCGAAAGGGGCUGCCAAAGUGGCACAUAGGAGGUGGAAAGGCGCACAGUGCUAUGAGCUUAUCGCUCAUAUUAUAGGACAAGUCGCAUUUAAUGCACCGCUGAGGUGUCCCCUGGCUUUAUCGGGGACGGGGGCAAGGCCCGUCCCGUCCGUCACCGCUCCUCCUCGCUUCGACACGCGCCCUGGCCAGCGAUGCGUGCGGCGCCAUGUAGGCAGGCAGGCAGCUGAGGUGGCGCGGUGGUAGGGUCUUCACGAAGAUCUGCAUGCCGCCACGCAGGCGCCUGCUGAGUUGCCCUGGAAGCUGCAUGUUGCCACGCAGGUGCCUGCCCAGCUAGUUUGGGCUGGCAGCUGCAUGCGAACGGCGGUGGAGACUUGGCUGGUGCGGGCCUGGCAGUGGCCCUGCUAGCGUCUUCGGCGAGGGUCUUGCCGGGGGGGCCCGACAUGGGUCUUGCCGUGGCGCGCUGUCGUCCCCGGCAAGGAUCUUGCUGGGGGUCUUGUGGCUCUCCUCGGUAAGGAUCUUGCCGAGGAUCGCUGUCUUCUAAUCCUCAUCUGAUCUUGAAUAUGUCUUCACAAAGAUCUGCAUGCCACCACAGAGGUGCCUCCCGAGCCCUAACCCCACGUGGAUGAUGGUGUUGGGGACCGUGGGCUCAAGGGUGGCUCACUUUGUUGGUGUGGGGCGAGCUGCCCCGGCAAGGAUCUUGCCGGGGCUGCUGAGGCUGCCCCGGCAAGGGUCUUGCCGGGGGAACCUGCUUCGUCCCUCUGCUCUUUGUGGUCUUGGCCUUGGCGUUGCUCUGGUUAUCUUGGGCUUCGGUCUUACCUUGGCUCACCUCCCCUGUUCUGCUUGGUGUGACCGUGGGCGCGGCUCCGACUGCCCGUGCACAGGUAAAGGGGUACAAAAGUGCGCCCCUCCUUUUGUACACCUAAAAUAUGAUUCACGCUCGACCUUUCAGUCUCAGUGUUCCGAGGCCAUAUCUGCACAUGCUAGGCUCGUCAUGUUUAACCCGAGUAUUCUGCGUGUGCAAAACUGGCUUGCAACCAUUGUAUGUGAACGUAGAGCUUAUCACACCCGAUCAUCACGUGGUGUCUUGGCACGACGAACUUUCGCAACGGUCCAUACUCAGGGAGAACACUUAUACCUUGAAAUUUAGUGAGAGAUCAUCUUAUAAUGCUACCAUCGAUCUGAGCAAAAUAAGAUGCAUAAAGGAUAAACAUCACAUGCAAUCAAUAUAAGUGAUAUGAUAUGGCCAUCAUCAUCUUGUGCCUUUGAUCUCCAUCUCCAAAGCACCGUCAUGAUCACCAUCGUCACCGCCACGACACCGUGAUCUCCAUCGUAGCAUCGUUGUCGUCUCGCCAACUAAUGCUUCUACGACUAUCGCUACCGCUUAGUUAUAAAGUAAAGCAAUUACAUGGCAAUUGCAUUUCAUACAAUAAAGCGACAACCAUAUGGCUCCUGCCAGUUGCCGAUAACUCCGUUACAAAACAUGAUCAUCUCGUACAAUAAAAUUUAGCAUUAUGUCUUGACCAUAUCACAUCACAACAUGCCCUACAAAAACAAGUUAGACGUCCUCUACUUUGUUGUUGCAAGUUUUACGUGGCUGCUACGGGCUGAGCAAGAACCGUUCUUACCUACGCGUCAAAACCACAACGAUAUUUCGUCAAGUAUGUGUUGUUUUAACCUUCAACAAGGACUGGGCGUAGCCACACUCGAUUCAACUAAAGUUGGAGAAACUGACACCCGCCAGCCACCUGUGUGCGAAGCACGCCGGGUAGAACCAGUCUCGCUUCAGCGUACGCGUAAUGUCGGUCCGGGCCGCUUCAUCCAACAAUACCGUCGAAUCAAAGUAUGACAUGAUGGUAAGCAGUAUGACUAGUAUCGCCCACAACUCACUUGUGUUCUUCUCGUGCAUAUAACAUCUACGCAUAAACCUGGCUCGGAGGCCACUGUUGGGUAACGUAGUAAUUUCAUAAAUUUUCCUACGCACACACAAGAUCAUGGUGAUGCAUAGCAACGACAAGGGAGAGUGUUGUCCAUGUACCCUCGUAGACCGAAAGCGGAAGCGUUAUGACAAUGCGGUUGAUGUAGUCGUACGUCUUCACGAUCGACCGAUCCUAGUACUGAACGUACGGCACCUCCGCUACCUGCACACGUUCAGCUCGGUGACGUCCCACGAACUCACGAUCCAGCAGAGUGUCGAGGAAGAGCUUCAUCAGCACGACGGAGUGAUGACGGUGAUAAUGAAGCUACCGCCGCAGGGCUUCGCCUAAGCACUACGACGAUAUGAGCGAGGUGGAUUCUGGUGGAGGGGGCCACCGCACACGGCUUGGAACAAUCAACUUGUGUGUCUAUGGGGUGCCCCCUCCCCCGUAUAUAAAGGAGUGGAGGAGGGGGAGGGUCGGCCCUCCUAUGGCGCGCCCCAUGGGGAGUCCUACUCCCACCAGGAGUAGGAUUCCCCCCCUUCCAUGUAGUAGGAGUAGGAGAGAAGGGAGGAGGAGAGAGGGAGAAGGAAAGGGGGGCUCCGCCCCCCUUCCUAGUCCAAUUCAGACCAGAGGGGAGGGGCACGCGGCCUGCCUGGGCCGCCCCUCUCUCUCUCUCUCCACUAAGGCCCAUAAGGCCCAUUAAACUCCCCCGGGGGUUCCGGUAACCCCCCGGUACUCCGGUACAUGCCUGAACUCACUCGGAACCCUUCUGAUGUCCAAACAUAGUCAUCCAAUAUAUCGAUCUUUAUGUCUCGACCAUUUCGAGACUCUUCGUCAUGUCCGUGAUCAUAUUCGAGACUCUGAACUACCUUCGGUACAUCAAAACUCAUAAACUCAUAAUACCGAUCGUCAUCGAACGUUAAGCGUGCGGACCCUACGGGUUCGAGAACUAUGUAGACAUGACCGAGACUCAUCUCCGGUCAAUAACCAAUAGCGGAACCUGGAUGUUCGUAUUGGCUCCCACAUAUUCUAUGAAGAUCUUUAUCGGUCAAACCACAUAACAACAUACGUUGUUCCCUUUGUCAUCGGUAUGUUACUUGCCCGAGAUUCGAUCGUCGGUAUCUCAAUACCUAGUUCAAUCUCGUUACCGACAAGUCUCUUUACUCUUACAGUAAUGCAUCAUCCUGCAACUAACUCAUUAGUCACAUUGCUUGCAAGGCUUAUAGUGAUGUGCAUUACCGAGAGGGCCCAUAGAUACCUCUCCGACAAUCGGAGUGAAAAAUACUAAUCUUGAUCUAUGCCAACUCAACAAGUACCAUCGGAGACACCUAGAGCACCUUUAGAAUCACCCAGUUACGUUGUGACCUUUGGUAGCACACAAAGUGUUCCUCCGGUAUUCGGGGGUUGCAUAAUCUCAUAGUCAUAGGAACAUGUAUAAGUCAUGAAGAAAGCAAUAACGAUAUACUAAAUGAUCAAAUGCUAAGCUAACGGAAAGGGUCAAGUCAAUCACAUCAUUCUCUAAUGAUGUGAUCCCGUGAAUCAAAUGACAACUCAUGUCAAUGGUUAGGAAACUUAACCAUCUUUGAUUCAACGAGCUAGUCAAGUAGAGGCAUACUAGUGACACUCUGUUUGUCUAUGUAUUCACACAUGUACUAAGUUUACGGUAAAUAAAAUUCUAGCAUGAAUAAUAAACAUUUAUCAUGAUAUAAGGAAAUAUAAAUAACAACUUUAUUAUUGCCUCUAGGGCAUAUUUCCUUUAGAUUACCGUACCGCUCUGGUGCAGAACGUACUCUGGUUGACCUACGAGGUUCGGUAGUAACUUGAUCCGAAGUUUCAUAAUCAUCAUCAUUAACUUCCUCACUAAUUGGUGUAGGCAUCACUGGAACUGAUUUCUGUGAUGAACUUUUUUCCAAUUCGGGAGAAGGUACAAUUACCUCAUCAAGUUCUACUUUCCUCCCACUCACUUCUUUCGAGAGAAACUCCUUCUCUAAAAAGGAUCCAUUCUUAGCAACGAAAAUCUUACCUUCGGAUCUGUGAUAGAAGGUGUACCCAACAGUCUCCUUUGGGUAUCCUAUGAAGACGCAUUUCUUCGAUUUGGGUUCGAGCUUAUGAGGUUGAAGCUUUUUCACAUAAGUAUCGCAGCCCCAAACUUUAAGAAACGGCAGCUUGGGUUUCUUGCCAAACCACAGUUCAUAUGGUGCCGUCUCAACGGAUUUAGAUGGUGCCCUAUUUAAUGUGAAUGCAGCUGUCUCUAAAGCAUAACCCCAAAACGACAGUGGUAAAUUGGUAAGAGACAUCAUAGAUCGCACCAUAUCUAAUAAAGUAUGGGUACGACGUUCGGACACACCAUUACGCUGUGGUGUUCCAGGUGGCGUGAGUUGUGAAACUAUUCCACAUUGUUUCAAAUGAAGACCAAACUCAUAAAUCAAAUAUUCAUCUCCAUGAUGAUUUUCCACUUCACUCUGAAAUUCUUUGAACUUUUCAAAUGUUUCAGACUUAUGUUUCAUCAAGUAGAUAUACCCAUAUCUUCUCAAAUCAUCUGUGAAGGUCAGAAAAUAACGAUACCCGCCGCGAGCCUCAACACUCAUCGGACCGCAUACAUCAGUAUGUAUUAUUUACAAUAAGUCAGUUGCUCGCUCCAUUGUUCCAGAGAACGGAGUUUUAGUCAUCUUACCCAUGAGGCAUGGUUCGCAAGCAUCAAGUGCUUCCAAAAGCCCAUCAUCAUGGAGUUUCUUCAUGCGCUUUACACCAAUAUGACCUAAACAACACACAAAUAAAUUGCACUAUCAUUAUUAACUUUGCAUCUUUUGGCUUCAAUAUUAUGAAUAUGUGUAUCACUAAAAUCGAGAUUCAACAAAAAUAGACCACUCAUCAAGGGUGCAUGACCAUAGAAUAUAUUACUCAUAUAAAUAGAACAACCAUUAUUCUCUGGUUUAAAUGAAUAACCGUCUUGCAUCAAACAAGAUCACCAAAUAACAAUUAUUCAGGUCUAAAACUAAUCCCGCAGGUAGAUGUAGAGGUAGCGUGCCAACGGCGAUCACGUCGACUUUGGAACCAUUUCCCACGCGCAUCGUCACCUCGUCCUUAGCCAAUCUUCGUUUAAUCUGUAGCCCCUGUUUCGAGUUGCACAUAUGAGCAACAGAACCAGUAUCAAAUACCCAGGCGCUACUACGAGCAUUAUUAAGGUACAUAUCAAUAAAAUGUAUAUAAAAUAUACCUUUCACUUUGCCAUCCUUCUUAUCCGCCAAAUACUUUGGGCAGUUCCGCUUCCAGUGACCAGUCCCUUUGCAGUAGAAGCACUCAGUUUCAGGCUUAGGUCCAGACUUGGGCUUCUUCCCGGGAGCAGCAACUUGCUUGCCAUUCUUUUUGAAGUUCCCCUUCUUCCCUUUGCCCUUUUUCUUGAAACUAGUGGUCUUGUUAACCAUCAACACUUGAUACCUCCACAGCCCUUAGCAUCGCAAAGAGCUCGGGAAUUGUAUUUUCCAUCCCUUGCAUAUUAUAGUUCAUCACGAAGCCUUUAUAGCUUGGUGGCAGUGAUUGAAGAACUCUGUCAAUGACACUAUCAUCAGGAAGAUUAACUCCCAGCUGAGUCAAGUGGUUAUGGUACCCAGACAUUCUGAGUAUGUGUUCACUGACAGAACUAUUCUCCUCCAUCUUGCAGCUAUAGAACUUGUUGGAGACUUCAUAUCUCUCAACUCGGGCAUUUGCUUGAAAUAUUAACUUCAACUCCUGGAACAUCUCAUAUGCUCCAUGACGUUCAAAACGUCUUUGAAGUCCCGAUUCUAAGCCGUAAAGCAUGGCACACUGAACUAUCGAGUAGUCAUCAGCUUUGCUCUGCCAGACGUUCAUAACGUCCGGAUUUGCUCCUGCAGUGGGUCUUGCACCUAACGGUGCUUCCAUGGCGUAAUUCUCCUGUCCAGCAAUGAGGAUAAUUCUCAAGUUACGGACCCAGUCCGGGUAGUUACUACCAUCAUCUUUCAACUUACCUUUCUCUAGGAACGCAUUAAAAUUCAAGGGAACGGUAGCACAGACCAUUGAUCUACAACAACAUAGAUAUGCAAAAAAAACUAUCAGGAGUAAGUUCAUGAUAAAUUAAAGUUCAAUUAAUCAUAUUACUUAAGAACUCCCACUUAGAUAGACAUCCCCCUAGUCAUCUAAAUGAUCACGUGAUCCAUAUCAACUAAACCAUGUCCGAUCAUCACGUGAGAUGGAGUAAUUUUCAAUCGUGAACAUCUCUAUGUUGAUCAUAUCUACUAUAUGAUUCACGUUCGAACUUUCGGUCUCAGUGUUUCGAGGCCAUAUCUGCAUAUGCUAGGCUCGUCAAGUUUAACCCGAGUAUUCUGCACGUGCAAAACUGGCUUGCAUCCGUUGUAUGUGAACGUAGAGCUUAUCACACCCGAUCAUCACGUGGUGUCUCGGCACGAUGAGCUGUAGCAAUGGUGCAUACUCAGGGAGAACACUUAUACCUUGAAAUUUAGUGUGGGAUCAUCUUAUAAUGCUACCGCCGUACUAAGAAAAAUAAGAUGCAUAAAAGAUAAACAUCACAUGCAAUCAAAAUAUGUGACAUGAUAUGGCCAUCAUCAUCUUGUGCGUUUGAUCUCCAUCUUCAAAGCACCGUCAUGAUCUCCAUCGUCACCGGCUUGACACCUUGAUCUCCAUCGUAGCAUCAUUGUCGUCUGCCAACUAUUGCUCCUACGACUAUCGCUACCGCUUAGUGAUAAAGUAAGGCAAUUACAUGGCGAUUGCAUUUCAUACAAUAAAGUGACAACCAUAAGGCUCCUGCCAGUUGCCGAUAACUUUUACAAAAUAUGAUCUUCUCAUACAAUAACUUAUAUCAUAUCAUGUCUUGACCAUAUGACAUCACAACAUGCCCUGCAAAACCAAGUUAGACGUCCUCUACUUUGUUGUUGCAAGUUUUACGUGGCUGCUACGGGCUUCUAGCAAGAGCCGUUCUUACCUACGCAUCAAAACCAAAAAGAUUUUUUGUCAAAGUGUGCUGUUUUAACCUUCAACAAGGACCGGGCGUAGUCAAACUCGAUUCAACUAAAGUUGGAGAAACAGACACCCGCCAGCUACCUGUGUGCGAAGCACGUUGGUAGAACCAGUCUCAUGAACGAGGUCAUGUAAUGUCGGUCCGGGCCGCUUCAUCCAACAAUUCCGUUGAAUCAAAGUAAGACAUUGGUGGUAAGCAGUAUGACUAUUAUCGGCCACAACUCUUUGUGUUCUACUUGUGCAUAUCAUCUAUGCAUAGACCUGGCUCUGAUACCACUAUAGGGGAACGUAGCAUGCAAUUUCAAAAAAAUUCCUACUAUCACGCAAGAUCUAUCUAGGAGAUGCAUAGCAAUGAGAGGGGGAGAGUGUCCACGUACCCUCGUAGACCAAAAGCGGAAGCGUUAUGUUACGCGGUUGAUGUAGUCGAACGUCUUCAUGAUCCAACCGAUCCAAGUACCGAACAUACGGCACCUCUGUGUUCAGCACACGUUCAGCUCGAUGACGUACCUCGAACUCUUGAUCCAGGAGAGGGUCGAGGGAGAGUUCCGUCACCACGACGGCGUGGCGACGGUGUUGGUGAUGUGAUCCGCGCAGGGCUUUGCCUAAGCACUAUGACGCUAUGACCGGAGGAGUAAACUGUGGAGGGGGGCACCGCACACGGCUAAGAGAACUCUUGGUGUGCCUUUGGGGUGCCCCCCGCCCCCGUAUAUAAAGGAGAGGGGGAGGAGGCUGGCGGGCAGGUAGAGGCACGCCAAGGGGGGGAAUCCUACUAGGACUCCUUUUGGGGAACGCAGUAAUUUCAAAAAUUUCCUACGCACACGCAAGAUCAUGGUGAUGCAUAGCAACGAGCGGGAGAGUGUUUUCCACGUACCCUCGUAGACCGUAAGCGGAAGCGUUAUGACGACGCGGUUGAUGUAGUCAUACGUCUUCACGAUCCGACUGAUCCAUGUACCGAAGACACGGCACCUCCGAGUUCAGCACACGUUCAGCUCGAUGACGUCCCUCGUGCUCUUGAUCCAGUUGAGGCCGAGGGAGAGUUCCGUCAGCACGACGGCGUGGUGACGGUGAUGAUGAAGUUACCGACGCAGGGCGUCACCUAAUCACUACGAUGAUAUGACCGAGGUGUGUAACUGUGGAGGGGGGCACCGCACACGGCUAAGAAAUCAACUUGUGUGUCUAUGGGGUGCCCCCUGGCCACGUAUAUAAAGGAUGGAGUGAGGAGGAGGCCGGCCCUCAUCGGGCACGCCCAAAGUGUGGAGUCCUACUAGGACUCCCUAGUCCUACUAGGAUUCCACCUCCCACAUGGAAUAGGAAAAGGGGAAGGGAGAAGGAGAAGGAAGGAAUGGGGCGCCCCCUUUCCCUAGUGCAAUUCGGACCAGUCCAUGGGGAAGGGGCGCGGCCACCCUUGAGGCCUUUCUCUCCUUUCCCGUAUGGCCCAUUAAGGCCCAAUACGAAUUCCCGUAACUCUCCGGUACUCCGAAAAAUACCCGAAUCACUCAGAACCUUUCCGAUGUCCGAAUAUAGCCUUCCAAUAUAUCGAUCUUUACGUCUCGACCAUUUCGAGACUCCUCGUCAUGUCCAUGAUCUCAUCUGGGACUCCGAACUAUCUUCGGUCAUCAAAUCACAUUACUCUUUAAUACAAAUCAUCAUCAAACAUUAAGCGUGCGGACCCUACGGGUUCGAGAAUUAUGUAGACAUGACCGAGACACAUCUCGAGUCAAUAACCAAUAGUGGAACCUGGAUGCUCAUAUUGGCUCCUACAUAUUCUACGAAGAUCUUUAUUGGUCAAACCGCAUAACAACAUACAUUGUUCCCUUUGUCAUCGGUAUGUUACUUGCCCGAGAUUCGAUCCUCAGUAUCAUCAUACCUAGUUCAAUCUCGUUACCGACAAGUCUCUUUACUCGUUCCGUAAUGCAUCAUCCCGCAACUAACUCAUUAGUCACAUUGCUUGCAAGGCUUAUAGUGAUGUGCAUUACCGAGAGGGCCCAAAGAUACCUCUCUGACAAUCGGAGUGACAAAUCCUAAUCUCGAUCUAUGCCAACUCAACAAGUACCAUCGGAGACACCUGUAGAGCACCUUUAUAAUCACCCAGUUACGUUGUGAUGUUUGGUAGCACACUAAGUGUUCCUUCGGUAUUCGGGAGUUGCAUAAUCUCAUAGUCAUAGGAACAUGUAUAAGUCAUGAAGAAAGCAAUAGCAAUAAACUAAACGAUCAUAGUGCUAUGCUAACGGAUGGGUCUUGUCCAUCACAUCAUUCUCUAAUGAUGUGAUCCCGUUCAUCAAAUGACAACACAUGUCUAUGGCUAGGAAACAUAACCAUCUUUGAUAAACGAGCUAGUCAAGUAGAGGCAUACUAGGGACACUUAUGUUUUGUCUAUGUAUUCACACAUGUACUAAGUUUCCGGUUAAUAAAAUUCUAGCAUGAAUAAUAAACAUUUAUCAUGAAAUAAGGAAAUAAAUAAUAACUUUAUUAUUGCCUCUAGGGCAUAUUUCCUUCAGUCUCUCACUUGCACUAGAGUCAAUAAUCUAGAUCACAUCACCAUGUGAUUAACACCAAUAGUUCACAUCACCAUGUGAUUAACACCCAUAGUUCACAUCGCCAUGUGACCAACACCCAAAGGAUUUACUAGAGUAAAAAAUCUAGUUCACAUCUCUAUGUGAUUAACACCCAAAGAGUACUUAGGUGUGAUCAUGUUUUGCUUGUGAGAGAAGUUUUAGUCUACGUGUCUGCCACAUCAGAUCCGUAAGUAUUUUGCAAAUUUUAUGUCUACAAUACUCUGCACGGAGCUACUCUAGCUAAUUGCUCCCACUUUCAAUAUGUAUCUAGAUCGUGACUUAGAGUCAUCUAGAUCGGUGUCAAAGCUUGCAUCGACGUAACUCUUUACGAUGAACUAUUUAUCACCUCCAUAACCGAGAAAUAUUUCCUUAUUCUACUAAGGAUAAUUUUGACAGCUGUCCAGUGAUCCACUCCUGGAUCACUAUUGUACCCUCUUGCCAAACUCAUGGUGAGGUACACAAUAGGUCUGGUACACAACAUAGCAUACUUUAUAGAACCUAUGACUGAGGCAUAGGGAAUGACUUUCAUUCUCUUUCUAUUUUUUGCCGUGGUCGGGUUUUGAGUCUUUACUCAUCUUCACACCUUGUAACACAGGCAAGAACUCCUUAUUUUACUGUUCCAUUUUGAACUACUUCAAAAUCUUUGUCAAGGUAUGUACUCAUUGAAAAAUCUUAUCAAGCGUCUUGAUCUAUCUCUAUAGAUCUUGAUGCUCAAUGUGUAAGCAGCUUCACUGAGGUCUUUCUUUGAAAAACUCCUUUCAAACACUCCUUUAUGCUUUCCAGAAAAUUCUACAUCAUUUCCGAUCAACAAUAUGUCACUCACAUAUACUUAUCGGAAAGGCUGUAGUGCUCCCACUCACUUUCUUGUAAAUAUAGGCUUCACCGCAAGUCUGUAUAAAACUAUACUUUGAUCAACUCAUCAAAGCGUAUAUUCCAACUCCGAGAUGCUUGCACAAGUCCAUAGAUGGAUCGCUGGAGCUUGCACACUUUGUUACACCUUUAGGAUUGACAAAACCUUCUUGUUGUAUCAUAUACAACUCUCCUUUAAGAAAUCCAUUAAGGAAUGCAAUUUUGACAUCCAUUUGCCAGAUUUUAUCAAAUGUGGCAAUUGCUAACAUGAUUCGGACAGACUUAAGCAUCGCUACGAGUGAGAAAAUCUCAUCGUAGUCAACACCUUGAACCUGUCGAAAACCUUUCUGCGACAAUUCGAGCUUUGUAGAUAGUAACAUUACUAUUAGCGUCCGUCUUCCUCUUGAAAAUCCAUUUAUUCUCAAUGACUUGCCGAUUACCGGGCAAGUCAACCAAAGUCCAUACUUUGUUCUCAUAUAUGGAUCCCAUCUCAGAUUUCAUGGUCUCAAGCCAUUUCGCGGAAUCUGGGCUCGUCAUCGCUUCCUCAUAGUUCGUAGGUUCGUCAUGGUCUAGUAACAUGACUUCCAGAACCGGAUUACCGUACUACUCUAGUGCGGAACGUACUCUGGUUGACCUACGAGGUUCGGUAGUAACUUGAUCUGAAGUUUCAUGAUCAUCAUCAUUAACUUCCUCACUAAUUGGUGUAGGCAUCACUGGAACUGAUUUCUGUGAUGAACUACUUUCCAAUUCGGGAGAAGGUACAAUUACCUCAUCAAGUUCUACUUUCCUCCCACUCACUUCUUUCGAGAGAAACUCCUUCUAUAGAAAGGAUCCAUUCUUAGCAACAAAGAUCUUGCCUUCGGAUCUGUGAUAGAAGGUGUACCCAAUAGUUUCUUUUUGGGUAUCCUAUGAAGAUUUACUUCUCCGAUUUGGGUUCGAGCUUAUUAUGUUGAAACUUUUUCACAUAUGCAUCGCAGUCCCAAACUUUAAGAAACGACAGCUUAGGUUUCUCGCCAAACCACAGUUCAUACGGUGUCAUCUCCACGGAUUUAGAUGGUGCCCUAUUUAACGUGAAUGUAGCUGUCUCUAAUGCAUAACCCCAAAACGAUAGUGGUAGAUCGGUAAGAGACAUAAUAGAUCGCACCAUAUCUAAUAAAGUACGGUUACGACGUUUAGACACACCAUUACACUGUGGUGUUCCAGGUGGCGUGAGUAGUGAAACUAUUUCACAUUGUUUUAACUGAAGGCCAAACUCGUAACUCAAAUAUUUUACCUCUGCGAUCAUAUCGUAGAAACUUUUAUUUUCUUGUUACGAUGAUUCUCCAUGAUGUCUACUACGCAACCUACUUCUUGUAGACGUUCUUGGGCCUCCAAGUGCAGAGGUUUGUAGGACAGUAGCAAAUUUCCCUCAAGUGGAUGACCUAAGGUUUAUCAAUCCAUGGGAGGUGUAGGAUGAAGAUGGUCUCUCUCAAACAACCCUCCAAACAAAUAACAAAGAGUCUCUUGUGUCCCCAACACACCCAAUACAAUGGUAAAUUGUAUAGGUGCACUAGUUCGGCGAAGAGAUGGUGAUACAAGUGCAAUAUGGAUGGUAGAUAUAGGUUUUUGUAAUCUGAAAAUAUAAAAAACAGCAAGGUAACUAAUGAUAAAAGUGAGCACAAACGGUAUUGCAAUGCGUUGAAACAAGGCCUAGGGUUCAUACUUUCACUAGUGCAAGUUCUCAACAAUAAUAAUAUAAUUGGAUCAUAUAACUAUCCCUCAACAUGCAACAAAGAGUCACUCCAAAGUCACUAAUAGCAGAGAACAAACGAAGAGAUUAUGGUAGGGUACGAAACCACCUCAAAGUUAUCCUUUCUGAUCCAUCUAUUCAAGAGUCCGUAGUAAAAUAACACGAAGCUAUUCUUUCCGUUCGAUCUAUCAUAGAGUUCGUACUAGAAUAACACCUUAAGAUACAAAUCUACCAAAACCCUAAUAUCACCUAGAUACUCCAAUGUCACCUCAACUAUCCGUGGGUAUGAUUAUACGAUAUGCAUCACACAAUCUCAGAUUCAUCUAUUCAAACCAACACAAAGAACUUCAAAGAGUGCCCCAAAGUUUCUACCGGAGAGUCAAUACGAAAAUGUGUGCCAACCCCUAUGCAUAAGUUCACAAUGUUACGGAACACGCAAGUUGAUCACCAAAACAUACAUCAAGUAGAUCACGUGAAUAUCCCAUUGUCACCACAGAUAAGCACAUGCAAGACAUACAUCAAGUGUUCUCAAAUCCUCAAAACUCAAUCCGAUAAGAUAAUUUCGAAGGGAAAACUCAAUCCAUUGCAAGAGAGUAGAGGGGGAGAAACAUCAUAAGAUCCAACUAUAAUAGCAAAGCUCGCGAUACAUCAAGAUCGUGCCAAAUCAAGAACACAAGAGAGAGAGAGAGAGAUCAAACACAUAGCUACUGGUACAUACCCUCAGCCCCGAGGGUGAACUACUCCCUCCUCGUCAUGGAGAGCGCCGGGAUGAUGAAGAUGGCCACCGGAGAGGGAUUCCCCCCUCCAGCAAGGUACCGGAACAGGUCUAGAUUGGUUUUCGGUGGCUACAGAGGCUUGCGGCGGUGGAACUCCCGAUCUAGGUUUCUUUCUGGAAGUUUGGGUAUAUAUGAGAGGUAUUGGCGUCGGGAACAAGUCAGGGGGGGUUUCCGGGCUGUCCACGAGGUAGAGGGGCGCGCCCCCCACCCUCGUGGGUAGCCCGGGACUCUUCUGGCCCAACUCUUUUACUCCAUGGCCUUCUUCUGGUCCAAAAAUAAGCUCCGUCAAGUUUCAGGUCAAUUGGACUCCGUUUGGUUUUCCUUUUCUGCGAUACUCAAAAACAAGGAAAAAACAGAUUCUGGCACUGGGCUCUAGGUUAAUAGGUUAAUCCCAAAAAUCAUAUAAAAUAGCAUAUAAAUGCAUAUAAAACAUCCUAGAAGGAUAAUAUAAUAGCAUGGAACAAUCAAAAAUUAUAGAUACGUUGGAGACGUAUCACUCCACUUCACUCUGAAAUUCUUUGAACUUUUCAAAUGUUUCAGACUUGUGUUUCAUCAAGUAGAUAUACCCAUAUCUGCUCAAAUCAUCUGUGGAGGUCAGAAAAUAACGAUACUUGCCACGAGCCUUAACACUCAUUGGACUGCAUGCAUCAGUAUGUAUUAUUUCCAAUAAGUUAGUAGGUUGCUCCAUUGUUCCGAAGAACGGUGUUCUAGUCAUCUUGCCCAUGAGGCAUGGUUCGCAAGCAUCGAAAUGAUUCAUUAAUCAAGUGAUUCCAAAAAUCCAUCAGCAUGGAGUUUCUUCAUGCGCUUUACACCAAUAUGACCUAAACGGCAGUGCCACAAAUAUGUUGCACUAUCAUUAUUAACUUUGCAUCUUUUGGCAUCAAUAUUAUGAAUUUGUGUAUCACACGAUCGAGAUUCAAUAAACCAUUCACAUUGGGUGUAUGACCAUAGAAGGUUUUAUUCAAAUAAACAGAACAACAAUUAUUCUCUGACUUAAAUGAAUAACCGUAUUUGCAAUAAACAUGAUCUAAUCAUAUUCAUGCUCAACGCAAGCACCAAAUAACAUUUAUUUAGGUUCAACACUAAUCCCGAAGAUAGAGGAAGUGUGCGAUGGUGAUCAUAUCAAUCUUGGAAACACUUCCAACACACAGCGUCACCUUGCCCUUAACUAGUCUCUAUUAUUUUGCAACUCCUGUUUCAAGUUACUAAUCAUAGCAACUGAACCGGUAUCAAAUAUCAAGGGGUUGCUUAUGAGCACUAGUAAAGUACACAUCAAUAACAUGUAUAUCAAAUAUACCUUUGUUCAUUUUUCCAUCCUUCUUAUCCGCCAAGUAUCUAGGGGCAGUUCCACUUCAAGUGACCAUUUCCUUUGCAGUAGAAGCACUCAGUUUCAGGCUUGAGUCUAGAUUUGGGUUUCUUCAUGGGAGUGACAGCUUGUUUGUCAUUCUUCUUGAAGUUCCCUUUCUAUUCUUUUUCCCUUUUUCUUGAAACUAGUGGUCUUGUAAACCAUCAACACUUGAUGCUCUUUCUUGAUUUCUACCUUCGCCAAUUUCAACAUCGCAAAGAGCUCGGGAAUUACUUACGUCAUCCCUUGCAUAUUAUAGUUCAUCACGAAGUUCUAGUAACUUGGUGAUAGUGACUAGAGAACUUUGUCAAUUACUAUCUUAUCUGGAAGAUUAACUCCCACUUGAUUCAAGCAAUUGUAGUACCCACACAAUCUGAGCACAUGCUCACUGGUUGAGCCAUUCUCCUCAACUUUGUAGGCAAAGUACUAUCAGAGGUCUCAUACCUCUCGACACGGGCAUGAGUAUGAAAUACCAAUUUCAACUCUUGGAACAUCUUACAUGCUCCAUGGCGUUCCAAACAUUUUUGAAGUCCCGGUUCUAAGCCGUAAAGCAUGGUGCACUAAAUUAUCAAGUAGUCAUCAUACCGAGCUUUGUCAAACGUUCAUAACGUCUGUAUCUGCUCCUGCAAUAGGUCUGUCAUCUAGCGGUGCAUCAAGGACAUAAUUCUUCUAUGCAGCAAUGAGGAUAAUCCUCAAGUUACAGACCCAGUCCGUGUAGUUGCUACUAUCAUCUUUCAACUUAGUUUUCUCUAGGUACAUAUCAUAAAUAAAACGGGGAAGCUAUUUGCGAGCUAUUGAUCUACAACAUAGAUAUGCAAAUACUAUCAGGACUAAGUUCAUGAUAAAUUUAAGUUCAAUUAAUCAUAUUACUUAAGAACUCCCACUUAGAUAGACAUCCCUCGAGUCAUCUAAAUGAUCACGUGAUCCAUAUCAACUAAACCAUGUCCGAUCAUCACAUUAGAUGGAGUAGUUUUCAAUGGUGAACAUCACUCUGUUGAUCAUAUCUACUAUAUGAUUCACGCUCGACCUUUCGGUCUCAGUGUUCCGAGGCCAUAUCUGCAUAUGCUAGGCUCGUCAAGUUUAACCCGAGUAUUCUGCGUGUGCAAAACUGGCUUGCACCCGUUGUAUGUGAACGUAGAGCUUAUCACACCCGAUCAUCACGUGGUGUCUUGGCACGAAGAACUGUCGCCACGGUGCAUACUCAGGGAGAACACUUAUACCUUGAAAUAUUAAUAAGGGAUUAUCUUAUAAAGCUACCGCCGAACUAAGCAAAAUAAGAUGUAUAAAAGAUAAACAUCACAUGCAAUCAAAAUAUGUGACAUGAUAUGGCCAUCAUCAUCUUGUGCUUUUGAUCUCCAUCUCCAAAGUAUUGUCAUGAUCUCCAUUGUUACCGGCAUGACACCAUGAUCUCCAUCAUCUUGAUCUUUUAUCAACGUGUCGUCACAUGGUCGUCUCACCAGCUAUUGCUUUUGCAAUUAUUGCUAUCGCAUAGCGAUAAAGUAAAGCAAUUACAUGGCACUUGCAUCUUAUGCAAUAAAGAGACAACCAUAAGGCUCCAGCCAGUUGCUGAUAACUUUAACAAAACAUGAUCAUCUCAUACAACAAUUUAUAUCUUAUCACGUCUUGACCAUAUCACAUCACAACAUGCCCUGCAAAAACAAGUUAGACGUCCUCUACUUUGUUGUUGCAAGUUUUACGUGGCUGCUACGGGCUGAGAAAGAACAGUUCUUACCUACGCAUCAAAACCACAACAAUUUUUCGUCAAGUAUGUGUUGUUUUAACCUUCAACAAGGAUUGGGCGUAGCCACACUCGAUUCAACUAAAGUUGGAGAAACUGACACCCGCCAGCCACCUGUGUGCGAAGCACGUCGGUAGAACCAGUCUCGCGUAAGCGUACGCGUAAUAUCGGUCCGGGCCGCUUCAUCCAACAAUACCGCCGAAUCAAAGUAUGACAUGCUGGUAAGCAGUAUGACUAUUAUCGCCCACAACUCACUUGUGUUCUACUCGUGCAUAUAACAUCUACGCAUAAACCUGGCUCGGAUGCCACUGUCGGGGAACGCAGUAAUUUCAAAAAUUUCCUACGCACACGCAAGAUCAUGGUGAUGCAUAGCAACGAGCGGGAGAGUGUUGUCCACUUACCCUCGUAGACCGUAAGCGGAAGCGUUAUGACAACGCGAUUGAUGUAGUCGUACGUCUUCACGAUCCGACCGAUCCAAGUACCGAACGCACGGCACCUCCGAGUUCAGCACACGUUCAGCUCGAUGACGUCCCUCGUACUCUUGAUCCAGUUGAGGCUGGGGAGAGUUCCGUCAGCACGACGGCGUGGUGACGGUGCUGAUGAAGUUACCGACGCAGGGCUUCGCCUAAGCACUACGACGAUAUGACCGAGGUGUGUAACUGUGGAGGGGGGCACCGCACACGGCUAAGAAAUCAACUUGUGUGUCUAUGGGGUGCCCCCUGCCCAUAUAUAUAAAGGAUGGAGGGAGGAGGAGGCCGACCCUCAUAGGGCGCGCCCGAAGUGUGGAGUCCUACUAGGACUCCCUAGUCCUAGUAGGAUUCCAAUCCCACAUGGAAUAGGAAAAGGGGAAGGGAGAAGGAGAAGGAAGGAAGGGGGCGCCCCCUUUCCCUAGUCCAAUUUGGACCAGUCCAUGGGGAAGGGGCAUGGCCACCCUUGAGGCCUUUCUCUCCUUUCCCAUAUGGCCCAUUAAGGCCCAAUACGAAUUCCCGUAACUCUCCGGUACUCCAAAAAAUACCUGAAUCACUCGGAACCUUUCCGAUGUCCGAAUAUAGCCUUCCAAUAUAUCGAUCUUUACGUCUCUACCAUUUCGAGACUCCUCGUGAAGUCCAUGAUAUCAUCCGGGACUCCAAACUAUCCUCGGUCAUCAAAUCACAUAACUCUUUAAUACAAAUCGUCAUCAAACGUUAAGCGUGCGGACACUACGGGUUCGAGAAUUAUGUAGACAUGACCAAGACACAUCUCGAGUCAAUAACCAAUAGUGGAACCUGGAUGCUCAUAUUGGCUCCUACAUAUUCUACGAAGAUCUUUAUUGGUCAAACCGCAUAACAACAUACGUUGUUCCCUUUGUCAUCGGUAUGUUACUUGCCCGAGAUUCGAUCGUCGCUAUCAUGAUACCUAGUUCAAUCUCGUUACCGGCAAGUCUCUUUACUCAUUCCGUAAUGCAUCAUCCCGCAACUAACUCAUUAGUCACAUUGCUUGCAAGGCUUAUACUGAUGUGCAUUACCGAGAGGGCCCAGAGAUACCUCUUUGAUACACGGAGUGAAAAAUCCUAAUCUUGAUCUAUGCCAACCCAACAAACACCUUUGGAGACACCUGUAGAGCAUGUUUAUAAUCACCCAGUUAUGUUGUGACAUUUGAUAGCACACAAGGUUUUCCUCCGGUAUUCGGGAGUUGCAUAAUCUCACAGUCAGAGGAACAUGUAUAAGUCAUGAAGAAAGCAAUUGCAAUAAAACUAAACGAUCACUAUGCUAAGCUAACGGAUGGGUCUUGUCCAUCACAUCAUUCUCUAGUGAUGUGAUCCCGUUCAUCAAAUGACAACACAUGUCUAUGGUCAGGAAACAUAACCAUCUUUGAUCAACGAGCUAGUCAAGUAGAGGCAUACUAGGGAGACUCUGUUUUGUCUAUGUAUUCACACAUGUACUAAGUUUCCGGUUAAUACAAUUCUAGCAUGAAUAAUAAACAUUUAUCAUGAUAUAAGGAAAUAUAAAUAACAACUUUAUUAUUGCCUCUAGGGCAUAUUUCCUGCAGUUACCAGUGGCGGUUGAUGGCGACAGUUGAUUUGGUAGACCAGUUCACUCUUCUACAAAAGAGUUGUGUCUGGUUGGAGCGACUUGUGAUUUAACAAAGGAGCAAACCUCUCUUCGCCCCAUUCUCCUUCAACGUGAAGCUGAUCAGACUUCAAUUGAUUUCACUCUAGGGUAGAUGUUUAUCAGUGAUCUCCAAACCUUUCACAGACUUGCUUCGCGAACCACAAUUACUCUUGGUUGCUGAAGACUUUGUCUUGGUGAAGACAAUUAAUCUUUGACACCCAAGAUAACACAUAUCCGUCUAGAGAGUGUAUAGCUCUCAAGAGAACCAGUACAAGAACUCUCAACUCAUAUCUACUGUGAUGCUCAACCACUAUCUAAGUUUUCGCUCUUGAUUUUCUCUUAGUGGAUUUUAAACUCAAAUCUCUCAGAGAGGGGUGCUUAAACAAUCUUCUCAGAAUCUCAAGCGGAUCAACCAACUAAACACGUUGGAGGGGUGCCUAUUUAUAGCCGCAGCCUUCCCAGAUGGGAAAUGACCAUUUAGAACAGAUGGUCUAGCCAAUGGCCAACCGAUAUGUUUUGAACUGUCGAAUUUUGAGCACACGAUAACUUUACUUGAGGAACAAGUAAUCCGACUCCUCAGUCCAAAACAUAUCUCUCGCAGCCUAGAAGAAUAACGUCUCUGGCUGGCAAGUAAAUUUUUCGGAGCACAAAGAGAUUUCUCUGAGUCCUUCAUAGGUUUUGCCUAAACAUCACAAUAGACUUUAGUUUUGAAUACCUAUACUCCUCUUAAUAGUACGAUGGUCCUAUGACUUACUCCCUCUAAAGAAAUAUAUAGCAUUUAGAUCACUAAAUUAGUUAUCUAAACGCUUUACGGGGGUAGUACUACAUCUUCCCUUCGCUUUCGUUCUUCACGACUAGAGUCAUUUCUUCUCGGACAAACUCAAGAACAAUUGCUUCACUUCAGCAAUAUUUAAGAGGGUCAAUUCAUUCACGCAAUCUUCUUGGUAUAGCUUCUUCUAGAAGCACAUGUAUCUGUUCUCUGCAAUGCAGGUACUUCUCGGUGAAGUUCUUCAAACUUCUGGUGAGAAUAUAGCAUUCAUCUUCUUACAGCAGGGACUAUUUCUCUCUAUAUGCACUAGUAAACAAAUCAGUCUCUUACUGUUUCUCACAACAAUCUUAAAAACCUAAGGGGCAAGUCAUUACACCAACAAUAGUAAAAUUUAUACUACAUAUUUUUCCUAGCCAUACAACCAUGCCACAUCAUCAAACCACGCACGUACCUCAUACGUUAUAUUUUCAAAAAUGUUGUGUGGCGUCCGUCAGAUUCUUAGGUUGUUGCAGCGAACGCAUCCCUCGCCAUUGCAUGAAUCUUGAUGCAAAUCGUGUACCAGGUUGACUCUCUGGAGUCGUUUGCUAUCCCAGCUGUCUAGUGAAUAGUUCCUUUUUUGUUUCUCAAAAAAGUAACAUGGCUGGGAGGGGGGAUUGAACUCACGCGCUCCUAUAGAAACCCAUGCACACUCACCACUUGGACUGAAGCGCAAUUUGUGUACAUUUAUGCUCAAACAACUUUAUGUAUUCUGAGUUUAUUUUAUUUUAAAUUUGAUUUUUCAUUUGAAGAAAUUAUAGAAAUCCUGAAGUUUUUCAAAUUUUUUGCAAGAACAAAAAUCCCUAUUUUUAGAGGAAUUUUUUUCUAAACCUUCCAUGUGCAUUUUUUCUAAGUAGCAUGGCUCUUUUUUAUAUUAAAACCAUGACAUUUUUCCUUCCAAAACAUAAAUUUUUUAUUUGUCAAAUGACAUUUUUUGCUUAAGAGUGUGGCAUUUUAAAAUUAAUAACAUGUCAUUUUUACUAAUAAGAGGAUGCUAGUUUUAUUAUUAAGAGCUUGGUAUUCUAAUAGUUAAUAACUUUGCAUUUUUAUUAAUAAGAGGAUGGACUUUUAUUAUUAAGAGCAUGAAAUUUUUAUAAUUAAUAACAUGACAUUUUUAUUAAUAAGAGAAUGGCAGUUUUAUUAUUAAGAGCGUGACAUUUUUAUAAUUAUAACAUAGUAUUUUUACUAAUAACAGGAUGAUAGUUUUAUUAUUAAGAGCAUGACAUUUUGUUACCAAGAGAAUGCAUGCUUUAAUUAAGAGCAUGGCAUUUAAAUAUUCAACACCAUGGCAUUUUUGUUUUUAAGAGGAUGUCAUUAUUUUUAUGGCAUGGCCAAUUUUUCUUUUUUGACUAUGGCAAUUCAUGUGUGUGAUUUUUUUAUGUUUUUGGAAACAAAGAUAUGUAAUACAACUGGGGCUUAUCCACAUACAUAAAUUAUGGGGAUGAAAGUUUCUUAAGUUCAGCAUGGCAACUUUUUCCUUGUGUUUUUCCUUAUAUAAAAAAUUAUUUCAAUUUUUUUUGUUAAUGGUGUUUUUUUAAAACAAACUGCUAUAUGGGCCUAGCCCAUUUUGCUUGUACGUGUAGACGGGAUCAUUCACUCUAUUUCCGGAAGGAAAACGUUUCACGCUGGAACACCGGCCGAACGUUGUCAUUUUUAUAUAAGCAAAAUGGGCUUAUCAUGUACUGCUUCCCUAGACCCCAGGGAGCGCCGGCCGAACAUUCGACCGGACGCGCGCGGCUCACACGAUCCCGCUGGAUCAAACGAUGCCUCGCAACCCAUGUGGCCACGUGGCUACCGCAGCCUCCCUACCCUACCACCGCUCCCCAUCUCUCUUGAUCCUCUCGAUGCUAUUAUCAUGUAGCGACCCGACCUCAGACGGUCAAGUCUCUGUGUUUCAGUGUCAUCCCUGGAUCGGUAAUGCUGACACACACAAUACUCGAAGGAUUUAUAACAGAGUAGCAAUCACACACUUAUUACAUCGAAUGUCUCAAAAGAGAACUCAUUACAAUAAAUAUGGCUUAAGGCCAUCUAAAACAAUAAUAGUGGAAGGCUUGGAAAAUAAAGUGAGUCCAUCAACUCCAACGGCAUAGCUGAGUGCACGACAACGGCCUAGCGAACCUUACUCCUCGUCUGAAAAGUCUGCAACAUGAUACGUUGCAGCCCGAAAACGGGUCAGCGCAUGGAAUAUGCUGGCAAAAUAACACAGUAGAGCAAUGAACAGAUAAAUGCUAUCACUACAUGCAUAUUUGGCUGGUGGAGGCUCUAUGGUUAUAAUGUUUUUGCGAAAAGCCAAUUUUUCCCUACAACAAAGGAAUAUUUUUUUAACUAUCAUGGUAGUUGAAACAUCAUUGAGAAGGUUCCUCCAACUCAAUCCCAAUUAAACAGUAGUUAACAACCCAACAAAAUUAAUUUAGAGUGAUGAGAUCCAUAUGAUAAUCCAAGAACCAGAUACUCAAGAUGUCCCUAACCGGGGACACGGCUAACCAUGAUUAGUUUAUACACUCUGCAGAGGUUUGCGCACUUUUCCCCACAAGACUCGAUCGCCUCCGUUGGAUUUCUCGCACUGCAUGGUGUUUGAGAAACGGAUGACCGAGACACAGUCUUUCAGAAGCAUUAACUCUAACCCUGGGUAGACAGUACCAACCUACAUCCCCUACAUCUGCUAGCCUACCACUAGAAGAGGUCAUGCGACAUACUCAACUAUGAUAGAGCCCAUAAUAGCUUGUGGCUGCACACGGAAGUUUCUAGCAUGAAUAAUCUUAUGAUCCCUUUGAGCCUGGGUGGCGGACCGUAGGAUGAUCACACGGGUACUCCGGGAUAUCCUAGGACAACACUGGAUUCUCCAGGUGCCCACAAGCAAUCCACCCACAUGUGUAUUAAAGUUGCCACCUUAAGUUAACCAUUAAUUAACAAUCUCACAUCUGUCAUGGAUUAACUCACCCAAACCACGUCGACGAGCAUAGCAUAGCAAAUAUAAGCAUAAUGUUGAAGUAACUCCCAAGGGUUUGAUGAUAAACAGGGCAAUAGGUUCUACCUCAUCAUCUACUUCCCAAAAACCACAAGUUAAUCAAAUGCUAACCAUGCAAUGUUUGAGGGUUGGUACUAAUGCAUAAAAACUGGGUAUGAAAGAGCAUGAUCAAUGUGUUACUUGCCUUGCUGAUGAUCUGCAAAACCUAGCGACUCGUAGUAGCAUGCUUCGCACUCCGGGAAUUCUAUCGCAAACAAACAAUAGCAUACAUAAGCAAUCAAGCAAGAUGCACAGGUAAAACUCAAAUAGGAAGAUCUAACCAAAACGUUCAACUGAAGAACUCCGGUUUGCAAAAAGAAUCAAAUGAAACGGAGCAACGAAACUCAAACUACGAAAUAAACAAGAUCCGAUUACUAAUCUGGACUAAAGUCAAAUUUUACAGUACCAAAAUCUUGUUCAAGUUGUUUAAACAUAAAGAGGGCUUCGAGACGAAGAUCUAAGCGCUUGAAUCGCCUGAUUCCGAUAAACGAGCGAAAAGAUAAACCAAAACGAAAAUCGGGUCAGAAAUCACGACCGAAAAUAAUCGCGAAAAAGCUUGGAAAAAGAAAAACUGACGAACAGGCUAACGAACGAAUGUUCGCUGUCUGCGGCUAACGGGUGAACGGCGUUCGUUAAAACGAACGUACGGACGAACGUCCGCAAAAUAAAUAAACCGACGGAAAACCGAACCGUUCUAAUCUAAAAAAAUGAAUCUAGGUUUUCGGAAUAAAAGUGAACCGUUUUAAAAAAAAGGGCGGCUACCUCGGAAAACGUGACGGCGGCGGCGGCGGAACUCCGGCGGGGCGGCGGCAACACCGGCGGGGNNNNNNNNNNNNNNNNNNNNNNNNNNNNNNNNNNNNNNNNNNNNNNNNNNNNNNNNNNNNNNNNNNNNNNNNNNNNNNNNNNNNNNNNNNNNNNNNNNNNNNNNNNNNNNNNNNNNNNNNNNNNNNNNNNNNNNNNNNNNNNNNNNNNNNNNNNNNNNNNNNNNNNNNNNNNNNNNNNNNNNNNNNNNNNNNNNNNNNNNNNNNNNNNNNNNNNNNNNNNNNNNNNNNNNNNNNNNNNNNNNNNNNNNNNNNNNNNNNNNNNNNNNNNNNNNNNNNNNNNNNNNNNNNNNNNNNNNNNNNNNNNNNNNNNNNNNNNNNNNNGGCGGCAAUGGGCGGCGGCGGCUGGGGUGCGGGGCUUGGGCAGCUAGGGUUUGGGGGCUGGCGGGCCACGGCUUAUAAUAGGCCGGCCGGGUCGGUGUCCCAGGCGGACAAGGCCCGGUAGGUCGGUUUCCCUUUUUUUUAAACAUUUCACAGAAAACCAGAGAAAAGAAAUACUAAACGGACUCCAAAAAUCCCGAAAUAAAAUUUCCCCAUCCUCUAAAAAUAUAGUGGACAAGGUGAACAUUUAUUUAGGACUCUUAUGGAAUUUUGAAAAACGCAUAUUUUCCUAAUUCAAAUAAAAUAGCAAUAAAAUCCAAAUAAAAAUGUUUAUUUGUUUUUAAUAUUUUUCCUCCCAUAUUUCAUUUAUUUUGGAGAAGUCAUAUCUUCUCUCUUAUAUUUUAAUAUGAAAUAUUUUCAGAGAUAAAAAUAAUUAAAACAAAUGAUCCUCGUUUCGAUAUUUGUUAAAAUUCAAAUAUGAAAACGGUGAAAUCCCCAACUCUCUCCGUGGGUCCUUGAGUUGCGUAGAAUUUCGAGGAUCGCAAAGCAAAUAUGCAAUGAAAAUAUGAUAUGCAUGAAUGAUCUAUGUAUAACAUUCCAAAUUGAAAAUUUGGGAUGUUACAAACCUACCCCCCUUAAGAUGAGUCUCGCCCUCGAGAUUUGGGUUGGCUAGAAAAUAGGUGUGGGUGGUCUUUGCGUAGAUCAUCCUCUCGUUCCCAGGUGGCUUCAUCCUCGGUAUGGUGGCUCCACUGAACUUUGCAAAACUUAAUAACUUCGCUGCGAGUAACACAGCUGGCAAACUCAAGAAUCUUGACAGGUUUCUCCUCAUAUGUCAAAUCACUGUCCAACUGUAUUGCUUCCAGGGGCACUGUAUCUCUCAGAGGAAUAUCAGCCAUCUCGGCAUGACACUUCUUCAACUGGGAAACGUGAAACACAUCAUGAACUCCUCACAGUCCUUUGGGCAACUCCAACUUGUAGGCAACCUCUCCCAUGCGUUCCAAAACUCGGUAUGGUCCUACAAAUCUCAGGGCUAACUUUCCCUUAACUCCAAAACGUUUAACUCCUCAUAGUGGUGACACUCGCAGAUAUGCUCUGUCUCCGAUUUCAUAGACUACCUCCUUGCGUUUUGAGUCCGCAUAACUCUUCUGCCUUGACUGAGCUACCUUCAGUCUGUCUCGAAUCAACUUAACCUUCUCUUCGGACUCCUUGAUCAAAUCCGGUCCAAACAACUGACGGUCUCCAACUUCAUGCCACAUCAACGGUGUUCUGCACCUUCUUCCAUACAGGGCUUCGAAAGGUGCCAUCUUCAAACUGGCCUGGUAGCUAUUAUUGUAUGAGAACUCCGCGUAUGGCAAAUUAUCAUCCCAACUAGACCCGUAGUCUAGCGCACAAGCUCUCAACAUGUCCUCCAGAAUCCGAUUGACUCUCUCAGUCUAUCCAUCUUUCUGUGGAUGAAAAGCUGUACUGAACUCUAGCCUGGUUCCCAAAGUCUGGUGCAACUGAUGCCAAAACUUUGAAGUAAACUGUGUUCCUCUAUCUGAUACAAUGGUCCUCGGAACUCCAUGCAGACAUACGAUCCUGGUCAUGUAUAUCUUGGCCAACUUUGCACUUGUAUAGGUGGUUUCACUGGGAUAAAGUGAGCUACUUUGGUCAAGUGAUCCACUACUACCCAGAUAGAAUCAUAUCCCGAUCGGGUCCUGGGUAAUCAGGUAAUAAAAUCCAUGCCAAGCUUAUCCCACUUCAAUUCGGGUAUCGGCAUAGGCUGCAGUAAUCCUGCUGGCUUCUGAUGUUUUGCCUUCACUCUCUGACAUACAUCACAUACGUCUACAUACUCGGCAAUAUCCUUCUUCAUUCCGGUCCAUCAGAAAUGCUCCUUCAAAUCCAAAUACAUCUUAGUGUUUCCGGGGUGUAUCGAGUAUGGUGAGUCAUGAGCUCCUUGAAGUAUCAGCUUCCUGAUCUCUGCAUUAUUGGGCACAUAAAUGCGGUCCUCGAACCACAAGGUGUCGUGCUCAUCCUCACGAAAACCUUUGGCUUUUCCUUUGCUCAUUCUCUCCUUUAUCUCGACAAUUUCCUUGUCAUCCUUCUGAGCUUCACGAAUCUUUCCCAACAAUGUCGACUGAACUUCCAUUGCUGCAACAAAACCUCUAGGAACAAUCUCCAAACGAAGUUCCCUGAGAUCCUCGGCUAACUCCUUUAGCAAACCUCUGUUUACGAGAGUAUUGGCAUAACCCUUCCGGCUCAAAGCGUCUGCUACGACAUUGGCCUUUCCUGGAUGAUAGUGCAGCUUCAUAUCAUAAUCCUUUAUAAGUUCCAACCAUCUCCUCUGCCUGAGGUUUAGCUCCUUCUGUGUGAAUAUGUACUUCAAACUCUUAUGAUCCGUGUACACAUCACAACGGUUUCCAAUAAGAAAGUGUCUCCAGGUCUUGAGCGCAUGCACUACGGCUGCUAGUUACAAAUCAUGAGUGGCAUAAUUUAGCUCAUGCGGUUGAAGCUGUCGUGAGGCAUAUGAAACAACUCUUCCGUCUUGCAUAAGCACUCCUCCAAGUCCUAAGCGAGAUGCGUCGCAAUACACUUGGAAAUCCUUGCGUAUAUCCGGCAGAAUCAACACUGGGGUUGUAGUCAGACAUUUCUUCAACUCCUGGAAACUUGCUUCACAUUCUUCAGUCCAUUUGAACUUAGUGUCCUUCCUCAACAACUCUGUCAUGGGCUUCGCAAUUUUAGAGAAAUUUUCAAUAAAUCUCUGGUAAUAUCCUGCGAGUCCGAGAAAACCGCGGAUCUCCCCAACUGUGGUGGGUGAUAACCAAUCGGUGACUGAUUUAACCUUGGUGGGGUCUACUGCUAUACCUUCUCCUGAUAUAACAUGUCCAAGAAAUCCAACUUCCUUCAACCGAAACUCACAUUUGCUGAACUUGCCAUAUAACUGAUGUUCCCUGAGCUUCUCGAGAACUAAACGCAAAUGCCCCUUGUGUUCCUCUUCAUUCUUCGAGUAUACCAAGAUAUCAUCAAUGAACACCACAAGAAACUUAUCCAGGAACUCCAUGAACACCUUAUUCAUCAUGCUCAUGAAAUAGGUAGGGGCAUUAGUCAAUCCGAAUGACAUAACCGUAUACUCGUAAAUCCCGUACCUUGUGGUGAAGGCUGUCUUAGGUAUAUCCUUUUCUCGAAUCUUCAGCUGGUGAUAUCCUGAUCGCAGAUCGAUCUUCAAAAACACUUUAGCUCCUUGCAGCUGGUCAAACAGAUCAUUGAUCAUAGGCAGCGGGUACUUGUUCUUGAUUAUCACUUCAUUCAGCGCACGAUAAUCUACAACCAUUCUCAAUGAUCCAUCCUUCUUCUCAACCAAGAGCACUAGGGCUCCCCAUGGUGAUGAACUUUGUCGGAUGCAACCCUUCUCCAAUAACUCCUUAAUCUGCUUCUUGAUCUCCUCUAGAUCAUUUGCGGGAAUCCGGUAGGGUCUCUUUGAUAUAGGUCCGGUGCCUGGCAACAGUUCUAUCAAGAACUCAAUGUCUCGAUCUGGCGGCAUGCCUGGUAACUCCUCUGGAAAAACAUCUGGGUAAUCCUUCACUACCGGCACUUCCUCCUGAACAACUCCCGUGAGAGAAUUUACUUGGGUCCUCCUCGGCGCAUGCCUAGAAACAUACUUGAUCCUUUUUCCCUCCGGGGUAGUGAGCAGAAUUGACUUGCUAGCGCAAUCAAUGUUUCCUCCAUGCUUCGAUAGCCAAUCCAUUCCCAGUAUCACAUCCAAUCCUUGUGAUUCCAAAAUUAUUAGGUCUGAGGGGAAAACAUGGUUGCCAAUGGUUAAGGGUAACCGGUCGCACCAUCGGCUGGCCAUAUACUCUGCACCGAGUGAGCUCACUAGCAAGGGUGUCCUAAGGGCUAGGGUGGUUAACUUAAACUUGUCCACAAAUCCCCUUGAAAUGUAUGAAUGCGAUGCACCAGUAUCAAAAAGAACGAGAGCGGUCAAAGACUUAACCGAAAACUUACCGAUAACUGCAUCUGGCUGCUCUUCAACCUCCUCCCCGUUCACGUGGUUCACUUGUCCCCUAUUGAAAGGGUUGGGCUUCUUCCCAGAGCUUCCAUUGCCGUUUCCAUUCUUCGACUCAAGGCACUCAGUGGCGUAAUGUCCAGUCUUCCCGCACUUAAAACAAGUAAUGUGACUUAGGUCCUUCUUGGCGGGUGUGGCUGGAUUUGAGCGGUUCUGAUUGCUGCUUGCUCCAUUCCCAUUCCCAUUCUUUGGGCCAUUAUGAUUAUGAGAACUUCCUCCAUUGUGAGUGUGGCCUCCAUGGUUAUGGGUAAAUCCUCCCGUGUUCGGGGUAAAGCGAGGCUUCUACUGAGCUCCUGAAUUGUACUUCCCUUGUCCAUACUUCCUCUUGCGGCUCUCUAUCUGCUGCUGCUUCCCUUCAAUCAUAAGAGCCUUAUCUACCAACUCCUGGUAGUUGUUAAAGGUUGCCACCAUUAACUGCAUACUCAUCUCAUCAUUCAGCCCUUCCAUAAACUUCUCCUGCUUCGCGGCAUCUGUGGCCACAUCAUCAGGGGCAUAACGAGAUAGCUUACUAAACUCAUCUACGUACUGAGCCACAGUACGAUUUCCCUGGCGCAAGUUGCGAAACUCACGCUUCUUCAUGCUGAUUGCUUCAGUUGAGACAUGGGAUGUGCGGAAUGCUUGCUGAAACUGGUCCCAUGUGAUAUUGGCUAUAGGAAAAGUGGUUGUGUAAUUCUCCCACCAUGAGGUUGCUGGUCCAUCCAAUUGAUGUGCGGAAAAACGCACCUUCUCAGCAUCUGUGCAACCUGCGGUGGUCAACUCCCUUCCAAUCCUGCGCAGCCAGUCAUCAGCAACUAUUGGCUCGGUGCUACUGGAAAACACCGGCGGCUGCAACCUCAGAAAAUGGACUAAGUUCUCAACGGGAGGUGGUGGCGGUGGGUUGUUGUUGUUGCCUUGGUUCCGAACUAGCAACCGCAUCAAGGCAUUUUGCUGCUGGAUCAACUGAGUGAGCUCCGGUGGGAAGACAAAUCCGGUAUCACGUCUCGGAGGCAUCUGAUGGGUUUAGAGGGAAGAGAUUAGAAUAGAGUAAGGUCUAGUGAGAAAGCACUACCCAUAUGCACAUGAGACAAACACAAUCAUAUCAUAUCACUCAAUCAAUCAAGCAAGGGCAUGCAGUCGAUCUAACUAUCGUUACAGUGCUCAGACUAUUCUAUAUACAUGGGGGAAUACUACUUGAUCAUAUGGUGGUCAUUCUAGAAAUUUUGAUCGGUGGAAGACUCCAUGAUAUCUGCUCCAGCUUCAUCUUCAUAGUCAUCAUCACUGCUGUCGGGGUCGGAGUCGGUGUUGUCGAUGAUGAUGUAGUCUUCAGAACGUAUCUCCUUGGGUGCGUCGUCAUCUCUUCCUGGUGCGGUGUCUCCCAUGAACACUCCGAUUUUCUUUAUCAGGUCGUCAUUCUUCUCCAAUAGUAUUGCGAUUUCCUCCUCAUAUCCGUCACGCGUAGACUUGAGUUCUUCCUCUAGCUCCAUGUUCCUGGUCAUCGCCUUCUUCAAAUCUACCAUGCUUGCGCACAUCUGGUUCUCCUGGCGUUGAAUGUGCUGGUUUAACUCCUGGAUGAAAGCUGCAAUAGACUUGUCCUUCCGGGUGCUGAUCAUCUCCCAUUGCUCGUCCCCGCGCCCACAUAUCUGGUAGAUAGUGUCCUUCAGCUCCUGUUUGUAGACUUCUCCAAUACGUCCCAUAGCAAUGUGGGCUGCCAUGCUCUUGCCUAGACUCUAGGUUGGUGCAUCAAAGGAAAACUCUAUGGGAUCAGUGACUGGCGUGAAUGUCCUUCCUGGAACUUGAACUCGAAUAAUCCAGCGCUCCUCUUCUGGUAAAGUGGCGGUGUAGGUCCCGGUGAAGCUUGGUAUUCCAAUGUUCAGGUACCUAGUGACUUCCUUCAACUGUCGUCCAAAGGGUGUGUCUUCAUCCGGUUGUGCAAACUUGUUCCUUGAGUCCGCCAUCCUAAAGGGUAGAAAAUGGAGAGGAGUCAGAAAUGAGUAGAGAAGAGUGACCUAUGGCUUUUCUUAGUGGUCGUGUCCUACAUUCAGCGUGUGCUCUGAUACCAUCUUGUAGCGACCCGACCUCAGAUGGUCAAGUCUCUGUGCUUCAGUGUCAUCCCUGGAUCGGUAAUGCUGACACACACAAUACUCGAAGGAUUUAUAACAGAGUAGCAAUCACACACUUAUUACAUCGAAUGUCUCAAAAGAGAACUCAUUACAAUAAAUAUGGCUUAAGGCCAUCUAAAACGAUAACAGCGGAAGGCUUGGAAGAUAAAGUGAGUCCAUCAACUCCAACGGCAUAGCUGAGUGCACGACAACGGCCUAGCGAACCUUACUCCUCGUCUGAAAAGUCUGCACAUGAUACGUUGCAGCCCGAAAACGGGUCAGCACAUGGAAUAUGCUGGCAAAAUAACACAGUAGAGCAAUGAACAGAUAAAUGCUAUCACUACAUGCAUAUUUGGCUGGUGGAGGCUCUAUGGUUAUAAUGUUUUUGCGAAAAGCCAAUUUUUCCCUACAACAAAUGAAUUUUUUUUAACUAUCAUGGUAGUUGAAACAUCAUUGAGAAGGUUCCUCCAACUCAAUCCUAAUUAACCAGUAGUUAACAACCCAACAAAAUUAAUUUAGAGUGAUGAGAUCCAUAUGAUAAUCCAAGAACCAGAUACUCAAGAUGUCCAUAACCGGGGACACGGUUAACCAUGAUUAGUUUAUACACUCUGCAGAGGUUUGCGCACUUUUCCCCACAAGACUCGAUCGCCUCCGUUGGAUUUCUCGCACUGCAUGAUGUUUGAGAAACGGAUGACCGAGACACAGUCUUUCAGAAGCAUUAACUCUAACCCUGGGUAGACAGUACCAACCUACAUCCCCUACAUCUGCUAGCCUACCACUGGAAGAGGUCAUGCGACAUACUCAACUAUGCUAGAGCCCAUAAUAGCUUGUGGCUGCACACGGAAGUUUCUAGCAUGAAUAAUCUUAUGAUCCCUUUGAGCCUGGGUGGCGGACCGUAGGAUGAUCACACGGGUACUCCAGGAUAUCCUAGGACAACAUUGGAUUCUCCAGGUGCCCACAAGCAAUCCACCCACAUGUGUAUUAAAGUUGCCACCUUAAGUUAACCAUUAAUUAACAAUCUCACAUCUGUCAUGGAUUCACUCACCCAAACAACGUCUAGGAGCAUAGCAUAGCAAAUAUAAGCAUAACGUUGAAGUAACUCCCAAGGGUUUGAUGAUAAACAGGGCAAUAGGUUCUACCUCAUCAUCUACUUCCCAAAACCCACAAGUUAAUCAAAUCCUAACCAUGCAAUGUUUGAGGGUUGGUACUAAUGCAUAAAAACUGGGUAUGAAAGAGUAUGAUCAAUAUGUUACUUGCCUUGCUGACGAUCUGCAAAACCUAGCGACUCGUAGUAGCACGCUUCGCACUCCGGGAAUUCUAUCGCAAACAAACAAUAGCAUACAUAAGCAAUCAAGCAAGAUGCACAGGUAAAACUCAAAUAGAAAGAUCUAACCAAAACGUUCAACUGAAGAACUCCGGUUUGCAAAAAGAAUCAAAUCAAACGGAGCAACGAAACUCAAACUACGAAAGAAACAAGAUCCGAUUACUAAUCUGGACUAAAGUCAAAUUUUAUAGUACCAAAAUCUUGUUCAAGUUGGUUAAACAGAAAGAGGGCUUCGAGACAAAGAUCUAGGCGCUUGAAUCGCCUGAUUACGAUAAACGAGCGAAAAGAUAAACCAAAACGAAAAUCGGGUCAGAAAUCACGAUCGAAAAUAAUCGCGAAAAACCCUGGAAAAAGAAAAACUGACGAACAGGCUAACGAACGAACGUUCGCUGUCUGCGGCUAACGGGUAAACGGCGUUCGUUAAAACGAACGUACGGACGAACGUCCGCAAAAUAAAUAAACCAACGGAAAACCGAACCGUUCUAAUCUAAAAAAACGAAUCUUGGUUUUCGAAAUAAAACCGAACUGUCUAAAAAAACGGCGGCUACCUCGGCAAACGUGACGGCGGCGGCGGCGGAACUACGGCGGGGCGGCGGCAACACCAGCGGGGCGGCGGCAACACCGGCGGGAUCGGCGGCGGCGCGGUGCAGCGGGCGGCGGCGGCUGGGGUGCGGGGCUUGGGCGGCUAGGGUUUGGGGGCUGGCAGGCCGCGGCUUAUAAGAGGCUGGCCGGGUCGGUGUCCCAGGCGGACACGGCCCGGUAGGUCGGUUUCCCUUUUUUUGAAAAACAUGUCGCAGAAAAACAAAGAAAAGAAAUACUAAAGGGACUCCAAAGAUCCCGAAAUAAACUUCCCCCGUCCUCUAAAAAUAUAGCGGACUAGGUGAACAUUUAUUUAGGACUCUUAUGCAAUUUUGAAAAACGCAUAUUUUUCCUAAUUCAAAUAAAAUAGCGAUAAAAUGCAAAUAAAAAUGUUUAUUUGUUUUUAAUAUUUUUCCUCCCAUAUUUCAUUUACUUUGGCGAAGUCAUAUUAUCUCCUCUCUUAUAUUUUGAUAUGAAAUAUUUUCAGAGAGAAAAUAAUUAAAACAAAAUGAACCUUGUUUCGAUAUUUGAUAAAAUUCAAAUAUGAAAACGGUGAAAUCCCCAACUCUCUCUGUGGGUCCUUGAGUUGCAUAGAUUUCGAGGAUCGCAAAGCAAAUAUGCAAUGAAAAUAUGAUAUGCAUGAAUGAUCUAUGUAUAACAUUUUAAAUUGAAAAUUUGGGAUGUUACAUAUCAUGUAUUGUUUCGCUCGUCCACUCAUCCCCUCCCUUAUCAUCUCCUACCUCCAGCACAUAGCACCUGUAGCAAGCGCCCAAAUCAUAUCGCCGGAGAAAUCACCUUUGCUCCCAUGCGCUGCCCCUUUUUUCAUCUAGAUCGGGUUGAGAUGGGGCUGGCAGUCGACCACCCCCACCGCGCACGCCGCUGAUGCGAGGAGUACUCAUGGGCUAAUGCAGCCCGGGGAAGCCAUGGGCAUCCAUCUCCUCGUCCUCCCCCGGUGAGGCUGCUACAACCUCAUGCCGGCAAGCUGCAAGGGCACGGGCGGGUGCUACAGCCACGGGGCGGAGGGUUACAACCAGCGACGGUGCGGGUGCUACAACCAGCAUGGACCGGUGGUACAUCCGGUGGCCUCGCGAGCUGCAAUCAUCACGCCGGCAAGCUAUAACCGCUGUCCAGCAAGCUGCGACAGACACGGGGCGGUGCUACAACCUAACAAUGGCAAGCUGCAACCGGCACGGGGCAGUGCUACAACCGGUGCCCAGCAAGCUGCAAGUCACACAACGGCGAGCUUCAAGCUGGUGGGUCACCAUGUCGGCGAUGGCGACCAUGCCGGCGGGGUGCUGUAACCAUGGUGGUGAGUUUGCUGGAAGCGGCUUUUGUUUUUGCUAUAACUGACCAAAAAAAUUGCUACGUUCUGGCGACGAACAACCAUGGUUUUGCUGGAACCGGCUAAAGUUUUUGCUUCAAAUGACUUAAAUUUUUUUAGUUGCUCAGAUUUGUUUUUUGCUGGAACACAGUACUGCAAAUCGACGAUAAUGGCGAGCCAGAGGCGGCGACGCCGUGCUUCGAUGGGGUGUAGGAGUUGCUUGGACCGGCUCUGGCCGCAAGCUGCAUCAGGCUUUCAUGGAGCUGCAUCCGGCAAAGUGGGUGUCGCGGGAAAAUGACGGUAAGAUUGGGAUGGGGCCUGUCGACGGGGACAUCGGCGGCGCUGAGCGAGGUGGCGACGCGUAGUGUUGGUUGACGUUUUUCUUUUUUUCUCUGUGGGCGACACGUGAACGAGGACGAAUAUUAGGCUCUAAUCAAACGGUUGUUAGCACGCAUAUCAGACGGCUGUGAGCAGACCGGCUCAAAUUUGGCUGGCCGCAUUUACAUUUUUUCGUUUCUGGGAUUUUAUCUCUCGACCUCGCAUUUGAGAACUAACCGCAGUAACCACCCAGAUAAAUCACCUUUGGUGGUUACAUAAAGUUUUUUAUUUCUUUUGCCGUAUGCCAACUUAUAAAACUAAAAGGAGCACUCUGGUUUUCUUUUUUCUGGACCAAUUUUGUUUUGUUUUUUCUCUCCUUUUCUAUUUCUUUUCUUUGUUCCUUUUCUCUUCUUACUUUUAUUUUUAUUUUAUAUUUCGCACGAACUUCUUUCAAAUUCGAUGAAGUUUUUCCUAAAUUGAUGAACUUUUCUUUCAAAAUGGAUGAACUUUUUUCAAAUUGGUGAUAUUUUUUUCAAAAAUUGAUGAAGUUUUUUUCCACAAUCGAUGAACUUUUUAGUUAAAGUUGAUGAACUUUUUUCAAAUUUGUGAGCAUUUUUUAAAAUUGAUGAACUUCUCUCAAUUUCUUUCUAUAUUGAUGAACUUUCUAAAAAUGACAAUUUUUUAUUUUCUGAACUAUUAUUAAAUUCACGAAAAAAAUCAAAUUCGUAAAAAAACUCCAAACUCAUGAAAAAUUUUAAACGCAUGUACAAUUUUUUUAUUAGAAAACAUGUGACCUAUUUUUUCGGUGGAGAACACAUCGGUAGUGAAACCCGAGGAAAAAAUUCUAACGAAUGAAAAAAACAAGCAAUCUAAGCGUGGUAGAGGAGCACGAGAUAGCGUGUGUGGGUGUGAGCAGUGGUGCUCGGCCCACAAGGAUACAUGGGGGCGCCAGGAAGGUUAGACGGGGCUGAACGCCGGAUUAGGGGGGGCUCCUAUUCAGCACUAUAAGUGCCGGUUCACGCCUUUGGCGCUCGCACAGACGCGUAAUCGGCUAGUCCAGCAACCUGCUAAAAAGCACAAGCGCGCAGGAAAAAUGUCAUGUUUAUUCGGGAGAACUCGGACUCAAAGUCCUAACGCCCAAGUCAAUGCCCACGCGCGUUUACCACUAGACCAAGCUCAAUUUGUUGAUUACUUGGGGAAACAAAGCUCUUUGACCUUUCAUUUUGUACAAACAUAAACAUAUACUAGUAUUAUAUACCCACUAUAAAUUAUUUGAAUAAAGAAAAAAUAAUUCAGAAAAGCAUUCACAAAAAUCAUGAAUUGAAAAGAAAAGUUCACAAAUAUGGAAAAAGUUUGUGAAUUUGAAAACAAAAAUCAUUCAAUUUGAAAAAAAUCAUUGAAUUUGAAAAAAGUUCAUCAAAACUGAAAAGAGUUAAUCAAUUUUAAAAAAGUUCACGAACUUUAUGAAAAAGUUCUGGCAUUUAGCAAAAAGGAAAAAAAGAACAAAACCAUUCCAGUAAAAAAGAAAAAAGAAAAACCCGAACGAUCCAAGAAAAAAAAGUUCAUCGACUUUGAAAAAAUUCAUCGAUUUGAAGGAAAAGUUCAUGUAUUUGCAAAUAAUUCGUCGACAUGGUCGAAGAAAAAUAGAAAAUGAAAAGCGAAAAAGAUAAAUGGGAAAAGAAAAAGGGGGAAAAUAAAAGAAUCAAAGAUAGAAAAGGUUGUAAGUUACAAGAACCUACUCAUUGGCGGGGUGGUUACACGAGCAUAUCGAUGAGGGAGGGCGCUGGUGAAGCGCCAAAUGGGAAGCGCCCGGAUUAGGAGGAGCUCCCGUGUUCCCCGUUGAUCUGAGGUAAGAAAUGAAGUUAUUAGGCCCGCACAUUUCAAUCAACGCAUGGACUAGCCCAUCAUCAUACCUGCAGACCAAAGCCCAGUGCACCGAGCCCACGGGGCCGUUCAACCAGCGGCAAAUCGAACCACGGCCACGACCUCGUACGUAUCGCCAGCCGGGGAUGGCGACACCGCACCCGCCGCACCAGCACAGGUGUCGCGGCGCGCCCGACACGAGUGCUCGCAUGCGUCCCACGCGGCCGCUCCAGCUCCGGCCUCCACGUAACACCAUGCACCGCGCUCCUCUAUAACCUCACUCCCCUCCCCUCGCUCCCUUCACUCACGCCGAGCGUGCUCCGGUAGUGCCCCUCCUUCCACACGUUCCUUCCUUCGCAUGGCUGACCACCACAGAGACAGGGGCGUCCUAGGCGGCGGCGGCGCCUUCGGCGACCGCAGUGGCCACGGAGGCUACGGCAGCGACCACCACGAGCAGCACCAGCAGAAGCAGCCGGCGAUGAUGUGCGCGCUGAAGGCCGCGACGGCGGCCACGGCCGCCGGGUCGCUGCUGGUGCUGUCCGGGCUGAUCCUGGCGGGCACCGUCAUCGCGCUCACCGUGGCCACACCCGUGCUGGUCAUCUUCAGCCCGGUGCUGGUGCCGGCGGCCAUCGCGCUGGCGCUCAUGUCCGCCGGGUUCGUGACGUCCGGCGGGCUGGGCGUGGCGGCGCUGUCCGUGUUCUCGUGGAUGUACAAGUACCUCACCGGCAAGCACCCGCCGGGCGCCGACCAGCUGGACCACGCCAAGGCGCGGCUCGCGUCCAAGGCCCGCGACAUCAAGGACGCCGCGCAGACCCGCAUCGACCAGGCGCAGGGGGCUUGAAGAGGAGGUCCGUGCCCCGACGCGCGGCCGGUGCGUGGAUGAUGAUGAACGAUAUAGCGUACGGUUGCUGAUCCGUGCGCGCGUUUGAUCGCCGCCGCGCCCGCCGCGCGAGCAAGUCGACGACGUUUACCACCUGUUUGUGCUAUCCGACCGAGUGCGUGUUUAGACUUUUGUUGCGAACUAGUUGUCCUAGUAGUACUCUAGCAGUAUGUUUCCGUGGUCGAAGUCGGGAGAGGGUCUGGAUGCUGGAUGUACUAUGGUGUGUUCUUGUGGAUGUCUGCCCGUUUAUGAUGAAUAAAUUGCCAAGUUUGGGCGAAGUGUGCAACUGUUCUUGUGGAUGUCUCUUAUCGCUUCUGAAAUGCAGCUUGCAGAAGAGACUAGGAGUGGGCACGAUCUGAACCCAGGGGCAUCUCUUGUGUUUCUCUACAUAUAUGACUAAAAUUAAAAUUAACUUACUACGAACUUACCAAGUGACUAUGGUACAAGCAUUGAUCCCCUAUGCAAGCAUACGGUUAAUUUGUUAACAAGAGAUCUGAUGUCCAAGAGAUGGACAAUAAUGUAGUGCAACAUAGUGUUUUUAUGAAACGUUUGAAGUGAACAAACAAAGCAAUGUUUUUCCUUCUUUUCUUUUCCAUGAAGGAAAUGCUUGUCGAUGUUUCUAGUGGCUAUAUCGCCUUCGGGGUGAUGCUGUUUCAGGGAAUGACUGGAUAUUCUGUUGUUCUGUUCCGUUAUGAUUUACGGACGCGCGGUUUGUAGAUGGGGAGAUUGUUCAAAGAUCUCAAGUCUUCCCUCAAAAAAUUAAUAUCUUAGUCUCUUUUUUCUUUCCCUUUUUGAAAGGAAGAUCUCUAGUCUAGAAAGGAAAACAAAGGUGUUCCAGGCGAUGACUGAAUGCUCUGCCGCUCUGUUCUGAUGUGAUACACACACAAGCGGUUUGUUGUGAUUUACGAACUCUGCUGCUCUGUUCUGUUGUGAUAUACGUAGACACGCACGAGCGGUUUGUUGUGAUUCACAGACGAGGGCUUUGUGGAUGGGGAAAUUGUUCAAAGAUAUCUCUUGUCAAGGAGAUUGCUCAAAGAUCUCUAGAAAAGGAAGACGAAAGUGGAGCCUGUGACACAAAUAGCAAAAGAUGGGCCAAAUUUAGAGCAAAUGCACCUUAAUUUUCUUCUCUUUCUAGUUCAAGGCUCUAUAAUAUUGAGGCUUAAUUAUCUCUAAUUAAGCUCUCAUGUUUUAUAGUAAGUAAAAUAGAGAAAAAAAUGUACACAACAUAUAUGGCAAUAAAGUAUCUUAUAUUUUUUAAAUAUAUAUCAAGAUUAUUUAAUAUAACUAUAUGAUAUCGAGCUAAUAGCGAGCGAGCAGUGGCUCAACUCGUUUCUCCGUCGAGCUACUUAAAGUGGUCAUAUUAAGCUCAUUUCUUUUAGUUGGCUCAACUCGUUUCUCCGUCGAGCUACUUAAAGUGCUCAUAUUAAGCUCAUUUCUUUUCGAGUCGAUCUGGGGUCAAGCCAAAAAACGAGUUCUUUUCGUGUCGAUCUUGGGUCAAAUCAAUAUACGAGUUGAUCUCGAGCGGCUCAAGCAAGCCAAAAUACGAGUUAAUCUCGAGCGGCUUAUGAACCUCGAGCUUUUCUUGCAGCCCUACUUGUGUCAACGGUUCGGUGCUCAAUAGUGCAUGUGGGCUCUUCUUUGUAGUCAUGACUUGGGAUGUUAUGGUGAUCUUGCUGGCGUGGUGCUUCGAGGAGCCGUCAGCGUCGAUUUGAUUGUGUCCAUGGUCGAGUUGGUGUGGUUGCCCUGGUCUAGAUAUGCCUUGAUGGCGGUGAUCCAGAUUUGGUCGGUGUCAGAGUAUUUUUCGACAGAUCUUGAUAGGUUAUCGCUUGACGAGUAGAUCGGAUGGCAACAUGUACAAAGGUUCAGGCCCUCGGUAGACGAGAUAAUACUCUAAUCCCGUUGCUCGUGUAUAAUGAUUGUACACGGGUUGCAAAAGGUCGAGGGAUUGAGCAAAGCUCUAAGGUUUUUGUCUCCAUUCGACUAGCCUAGCCCCGACUUAUAUGGAUUUCAGGGACUAGGGUUACAAGACCUAAGUCGGUAAGGAGUCCUCGAGAUGUCGGUUUCCUUAUCUUGUAAUCCAAGCCUUCCAUACACAUAUGUUAUAAGGCCAUGGGUCGGUUUGAUUGUCCCGUGAUAUAAUUGACCUUAGGGCCCAGAACGGCCCCAAGGUUAGGCACCCUUUGUUUUGUAACACCGUCAGUCGGCUUGGUGGUGGUGGUGUUGUAGAAUGGGGUGCAACGACCUUUUGCGGCGGCCUUGCUCGGCCCCGACACCCUCACAAGGCUAGGAGCGUUGCGUGGGUUUAGAACUGCGUCUCUAGAUCCAGGCAUGGUGGGCCCUAGGUUGACGGGUUUGGAGAGAGCUCUCUCUAACAAGGUGGCAUUCGGUGGAGGCGUACUCUACCGUCGGUGCUUGGUCCGUGUGGGCGUGUGACCACUCUAUCUUAUGGUGGCACCCUCGCUGCACAUUGUUGCGGCCACCGAAAGGUCUUCAUGAGGGUUUCUCUCUUCGAUGUAGUGGUGACAUUCUGACAACCCACAAGUAUAGGGCUUCGUUUGUAGUCUUUUUCGAUAAGUAAGAGUGUCGAACCCAACAAUGAGCUAAAGGUAGAAUUAAUAUUCUCUCAAGUUCUAUCGACCACCGAUACAACUCCACGCACACCAACAUUUACUUCACCUAAAACAAGAAAUAAAACUAGUCUGCAAGAAAAAAAUAGAAAUACUUUACAAGAUAAUAAAAGUUAGUUGUUUGAUAGAGAGUUUUUGGAGAACAAUGAGAAGGAUUGUCCAUAGGCAAUUGAAUAUAACACGUGGGAUAACUAUCAUAUGCAUCAGGGAGAGGCGUAAGCUAACACACUUUUCGUACUUGGAUCACUUGCACUUAUGACUGGAACUCUAGCAAGCAUCCGCAACUACUAAAAACAUUAAAGUAAAACCCAAUCACAACAUUAAGUGUAAAGUCCCCUUUAAUCUCAUACGCAACAACCCACUUACUCGGGUUUAACCUUCUGUUACUCGCAACCCACUAUAAGCGAAUCAUGAACAUAUUGCAAUACCCUAAAGCGGGAAUUCCCACACGUGUGUGUGG
rnacentral:lncRNA from 1 species